UCCUUCGCCUGCUGCUAGUCCCUUUCCCCACUCCUCUGCUGCUCCUCCUCUUAAAACUGCUGCUGCUCUUCUUUCCCACGUUCCUGCUCUGCACUCUGCUUCUCACCUCCGUUGCUGCUGUUUCUCUUCUGAACCUCUGCUACUGUUCAGCUCUGAACCUCUGCAUCUGUGUUGAAUGUGCUUUCAGUGUUCUUGAGAUGUGUAAACUGUUCAAUAUUCAGCUUACAAUUUGUAAAACUUUUGUGAUUCAGUGGUGUCUCUAUGUUAUACAUAUAGCUUGUGUACUGCUUGCUGCAGUAAAUUUCAGUUUGUAAGUUCCUGUGAUAGCUCCAGUACAUGUGACUUUUAUGUUGUCUCAAGUUCCUGUUAUAUAUAUACAUAUGUGUGUGUCUGUGAUGUGAUACAUUUAUGUUCUGUCCUACAACCUUAUUGUGUUAGCAUUUUAUUUCUCAUGUAAAACGAAAAUACCAAAAAUAUUAUUGAAGAUAAUCUGAACCUCCUUUGACCUUUUUGCAUUUUCUUUGGUGACGAUCUUUGGGUACAACCUUGUUUAGUGUAGGUUUUUUUUCUUGCAUUCAUAAUCUGAAUUGUGUUACCUAGCUUUAGCCAAGCACCGUCAUCGAUUUGCCUAGUCCCUGAUGAGAACACGACACUCGUAGUUUGGGGCGUAAAAACCCAGCUAUAUUACAAUUGAUCAUUUUGGCGCCGUUGCCGGGGACUAGCGUCGAGCGAUUGUGCGAAGCUAUAGACUAGGCUUAGUAUAGUUUUUGUUUAAAUUUCCAGUCAAAUUUAUUUCUGUGCUUCUUUUACCUUUUUACUUUUUGUUGCUUCGGCUUAUUAGGAUACUAACCCUCUCACCAAUGUUUCAUGUUUGUGAGCGUGUGUAGGAUAUCUUAUUAUUUGUAGGCUGAUUGACAGUUGCACCUGAACAUAUGGCUUUAGUACAUGAUCUUUGGUUGCCAAGUAGUUUGGACACGAUGACAGGGCCAAUUUGGCCAUCUAUUGAGGCCAAAAUUUUUGAGUUGAGGCCUGGACUUAUUGCUCUCGUCUUGCAGAAUCAGUUUAGAGGAUUACCCAAUGAAGACCCUCAUGAGCACAUUAGUAAUGUUCUGGAGUAUGCCAAUACAGUCCAGUAUCAUGGCGUUUCCCAAGAUACUAUCAAGUGUAUGUUGUUCACAUUCUCUCUCAGAGAUGCUGCUAAGGACUGGUACUAUUCUUUGCCAUCAAGAUCAUACACUUGGGGUGAUAUUUCACAAGCUUUCCUGCAUAGAUAUUUUCCACUUUACAAGCAAGCUGCAAUUCGUGACCAGAUCCUCAGUUUUGCGCAAGAUGGUAGUGAGAGCUUGUAUGCAGCUUGGGAGAGAUAUAAGUAUUUGCUUAGAAAAUGUCCUAAUCAUGGGCAAAAGGAUUGGUUAGUGCUUCAGAUAUUCUAUAGAGGGCUGACACAUGCUUCAAGAGAUCUUAUUGAUAUGUCAGCUGGUGGAACAAUCAUGAACAAGACCGUCGAGGGUGCAAUUAUUCUCAUUGAGAGCAUUGCCUUCCACCAAAUGCAAUGGGGUUAUGAAAGGCCUAGUUCAAAUCCGAAGGUUGCAAGCCUCGUGCAAUCAGAAGUUGUGUGUUCCAUAAGUGAACAGAAAUCAUCCAUGGUGCCUAAUAUUCAAAACCAGCAUGUUUCAUUCCGGGGACAACAACAUUUCAGAACUGAAUUAGAUCCUCCAUAUAGAACGAUUGAUCUUACUUCAAUUAUCCUUGAUGAUGAUUAUGAUAUUUUUCAAGAUGAUGAAACUACUGUAGAUCAGAUGGAAACCACAGUAGCAGAUCCAAUACCUCAUGGCAAUGAAACUGUCCAGAAUGAGUCAAAGCUGAAAGAAGAUGUUUAUGAGGAACCUACUCUGAUUGAUGCUAAGUUGAGACAACAAGAUAUGGAGAAAUUCACUUGUGUUAGUCAACUAUGUGACUGGUGGAAUUUAGUCGUGUCACCAAUUGCCCACACUUGUGUUACAACGGUAUCUGGGCUAUUUGUCAAGAAGAAAUCAUUAGCUCCACCGGUGGUUGCCUCUAUCACAGUUAAAGAGAGUAUCUCAGAGAAGAAUAGUGAAGAUGAGAUUCCAACUCCUGCACAUACAACUAAGCAAGUCGGAGCCAUUCCAAGGAGAGAGAUACAAGAGGUUGAGUCAAAUUUAGAAGAGUUGAUACUUCAAUAUCCUGAGAAGAUCCCACGUGUUGCUGAGCUGCAUGACUGGUGGAAGUCAUCAGUGUCACUGUUGAGACUUAGUAGUGAUGGUGAUGAGGAGAACAUUGCUCAGAAAGACAGCGAGGUAGUGAUCUCAACACCCCUACCAGAUCAUGUUAGUGAAUAUUCACAUAUGGGGACACUUCAGACUCAAUUAAGUGUUGCUGGUAGUAGCACCAUAGAAGAUCCAGAGGAAGAGAGUCCUCAACUUGAAGAAGAUUUACAAGAAGACAAGGAACAAGAUGAUCAAGAGCUGCAAUUUCCAAGUGAUCAAGUUGAAGACUCAUCAUCUACUACUCCUGAAGAAGUACAAGAAGCUGUUGUAGAUGAAGAUGAAGAACCUGAGAUUCAUUGGCCUAUUGUCAUACAUGAGCGCGAUGUGUCAGGUUUACCCAAUCCUCUUGAUGACAUGCUCCCUUGUGAUUUCUUUGCUUCUAACUUGCAUUGCAUGAUGCCAUCACUUAAGGUAGAUUUGAAAAACUAUUUGCUUGGACAUGAUCAUACACACCCUGUUAGUGGCAUUACUCUCAUUUGUGAUGAUCACAGUUACUUUCCUCGUGCUAGUUCUAUGCUUAAUGAAACAUAUCAUUCCCAUGUUAGUCUUGAGCUUAAUGAUAAAUAUCAUCCUCAUGUUAGCAUUGAGCUUACUGAUUUGUACCAUCCUAAACAUGUGCUUUAUAGCUAUGCUUAUGUAAUUGGGUACUCUAUAGAUGAUUUAGAGGGCAUUACCCUUGUCACUUGUAUUGUUUCCUUGGUUGAGUGCUCUUUCAGGUUGUUGCUUGUGCACGAUCCACUACAUGCUGACCAAGUCCGAGAUGACAUUCCCUGGGACCCCGGUGGACCCAUGGCAUGGGGAUGAGGAGAAGCAAGGAGCACACAUGAAGAGAGAAGCUGGAGCAGGCAUGAGGAUAGAGAAGCAAAAAGAGAAGAGCUGCAGCUUAGAGAGUCAUCAAGCGAGUGCUACUUCAUAGUGCCCGGUUAGCUGUUUCAUGACCCAUUCUGAGUAUAUCAUCCAUUGAUGCUUGCUGAAUUAAAUUGCUAUUUGGGUUGCUUGUGCCAUUUCUUAAAUGUUGUCCCACUGAAUUUCACCUUUGACAUGUGGUGCUUGAUGAGAAUAUGCGAACUAAUUGUUGAAUGCCUUGUAACUAGUGAUCUACACCCUGUUUGCUCUGCUAAAAGUAGUGAAAGCUAUUAGUUCUGAGUGCUCAAAUCCCUAGUACACUAGAAAACUAAAUCAUUUUCUGCAUUUACUAUGAUACACCUAGAUCACCAUGUUUAGAUGCUGAAUUUGUGCCAAGUGUGUUCCCAUUGAGAGCAAUCACCUAACUACUAUGGAAUAUCAUGCUAUGUUCCCUGGAUCGGUAGCAUGUGAACCAGACAUGGAGAAGUGAUGAUUCCUAUUUUUGUGCUUAUGCAUUGUUCAUUUAAGAUAAGUAAUAAUGAAUAAAUUAGUCUGACUACCUACAGUAGCAUGUCAUGUUCUUGGGAUCGGUGGCAUGUGAAAUCGGGUUAGCUUGGGCAGUAAUUAUUAUAAAAAUGUAAUUGUCGAACCAGGUGUAUACCAUGUUCUCGGGAUCGGUGGUAUGUUCCUUUGGGGAGACAAACAAGAAAACUAUAUAAUUGGUCAAGCCGGGUGUAUACCAUGUUCUCGGGAUCGGUGGUAUGUUCCUUUGGUGAGAUCAAUAAAAUAUUAUCAUUACUUCCUUCAAAUUCAAUAAGUGGUUCAACCACAAAGUUAUAUUUCUGCAAAUAAGAGAUUUAAUUCCAGUUCUUUUUGUUCUCGGGAUCAUGCUCUCUUUAGGAAUCAUUUGGCGCAAUCAUCAUUUAAACUUGUUGGUCCUCUUUUAUCAUUGUAAAAGUUUAAAAUGGUCAUGCUUACCAGUAUCCUACUGCUUUGUAGCACUCUUAACCAUCAAUUUUCACUAGCUAAGUCCAAAAGCAUGCAUUGUUUAGAGAUCUACUUCACUUGGACAUUCUUUACUCAGUUCACUGUUCACAUUCUUGCUCUUGUCAUAUGCCUUUGCUUGAGGACAAGCAAAGAUUUAAGUGUGGGGGAACUUGAUAAGUAUAUUUCACAUAUAUAAUUUUGGUACUCAAAUAUAGCUUCUAUCGUGACAUAUUCGUCCAUUCUUGCCAUGAUUGNNNNNNNNNNNNNNNNNNNNNNNNNNNNNNNNNNCAUUACUUCCUUCAAAUUCAAUAAGUGGUUCAACAACAAAGUUAUAUUUCUGCAAAUAAGAGAUUUAAUUCCAGUUCUUUUUGUUCUCGGGAUCAUGCUCUCUUUAGGAAUCAUUUGGCGCAAUCAUCAUUUAAACUUGUUGGUCCUCUUUUAUCAUUGUAAAAGUUUAAAAUGGUCAUGCUUACCAGUAUCCUACUGCUUUGUAGCACUCUUAACCAUCAAUUUUCACUAGCUAAGUCCAAAAGCAUGCAUUGUUUAGAGAUCUACUUCACUUGGACAUUCUUUACUCAGUUCACUGUUCACAUUCUUGCUCUUGUCAUAUGCCUUUGCUUGAGGACAAGCAAAGAUUUAAGUGUGGGGGAACUUGAUAAGUAUAUUUCACAUAUAUAAUUUUGGUACUCAAAUAUAGCUUCUAUCGUGACAUAUUCGUCCAUUCUUGCCAUGAUUGAUUGAAUAUUGCUUGAUAAUCAUCAAAAAGGAUCAUUUACUAGUCUUUGGUCUAUCUUGCAGAAAUGUGCACAAAGGCACUAAUAAUCGUCAAGAUUCCGUCUAUGUGGCUAUCGAGAAGAGUGAAGAAGAGAAGAGAAGGAAGAAGAGACUUGUGUGAGAUGAAGAGAAGUAACCAGGGGGCUAGGUAAAGAAGUGGGAGGACCUUCUUGUGAAGAAAGAAGAGAAGAAAGAGGGCCAAAUCACAAAGUGCAGAUGAGAGGAGGGGAACAAAAUCCCUAGGCACUGGAGGGAUCCGAUCGGGCCUGGCCAUAUCUCCAUCUCUCUUCUCCCCCACCAGUUCUUCCACCUUAGGCCGCUGUCUCGGCCAGGCCGGCGUGGUGGUGCGCCUCUGCAGCCCAGCCACCACCAUCUCCAUCCAUCUCCGCUGCGCCACCAUCCACAUCAGCGCCCUGCGCCAUCCAUCACCAGCACCAACACCCAGCGCCACCCAGCACCUCCACACGCUCCACACCGCCGCCAUCCAUCACCACCGCACCACUGAACACCUCAGCGCGAGAGUUUCCCUGUUGCCGUCCUUCUUCCCUUGCCUCUGCUGCUGCUCUUGCUUGCGCCCCUGUGCUGCUGCCUUUCUUCUCCCCUUGCUACUGCUCCCCUUUUCUAGCGCCUCAACCUGCUGCUCCUUCUCCUCCGCCUGCUGCUAGUCCCUUUCCCACGCCUCUGCUGCUCCUCCUCUUAAAACUGCUGCUGCUCUUCUUUCCCACGUUCCUGCUAUGAACUCUGCUUCUCACCUCCGUUGCUGCUGUUUCUCUUCUGAACCUCUGCUACUGUUCAGCUCUGAACCUCUGCAUCUGUGUUGAAUGUUCUUUCAGUGUUCUUGAGAUGUGUAAAACUGUUCAAUAUUCAGCUUACAAUUUGUGAAACUUUUGUGAUUCAGUGGUGUCUCUAUGUUAUACAUAUAGCUUGUGUACUGCUUGCUGCAGUAAAUUUCAGUUUGUAAGUUCCUGUGAUAGCUCCAGUACAUGUGACUUUUAUGUUGUCUCAAGUUCCUGUUAUAUAUAUACAUAUGUGUGUGUCUGUGAUGUGAUACAUUUAUGUUCUAUCCUACAACCUUAUUGUGUUAGCAUUUUAUUUCUCAUGUAAAACGAAAAUACCAAAAAUAUUAUUGAAGAUAAUCUGAACCUCCUUUGCCCUUUUUGCAUUUUCUUUGGUGACGAUCUUUGGGUACAACCUUGUUUAGUGUAGGUUUAUUUUCUUGCAUUCAUAAUCUGAAUUGUGUUACCUAGCUUUAGCCAAGCACCGUCAUUGAUUUUCCUAGUCCCUCAUGAGAACACGACACUCGUAGUUUGGGGCGUAAAAACCCCGCUAUAUUACAAUUGAUCAUUUUGGCGCCGUUGCCGAUGACUAGCGUCGAGCGAUUGUGCGAAGCUAUAGACUAGGCUUAGUAUAGUUUUUGUUUAAAUUUCCAGUCAAAUUUAUUUCUGUGUUUCUUUUACCUUUUUACUUUUUGUUGCCUCGGCUUAUUAGGAUAGUAACCCUCUCACCAAUGUUUCAUGUUUGUGAGCGUGUGUAGGAUAUCUUAUUAUUUGUAGGCUGAUUGACAGUUGCACUUGAACAUAUGGCUUUAGUACGUGAUCUUUGGUUGCCAAGUAGUUUGGACACGAUGACAGGGCCAAUUUGGCCAUCUAUUGAGGCCAAAAAUUUUGAGUUGAGGCCUGGACUUAUUGCUCUCGUCUUGCAGAAUCAGUUUAGAGGAUUACCCAAUGAAGACCCUCAUGAGCACAUUAGUAAUGUUCUGGAGUAUGCCAAUACAGUCCAGUAUCAUGGCGUUUCCCAAGAUGCUAUCAAGUGUAUGUUGUUCACAUUCUCUCUCAGAGAUGCUGCUAAGGACUGGUACUAUUCUUUGCCAUCAAGAUCAUACACUUGGGGUGAUAUUUCACAAGCUUUCCUGCAUAGAUAUUUUCCACUUUACAAGCAAGCUGCAAUUCGUGACCAGAUCCUCAGUUUUGCGCAAGAUGGUAGUGAGAGCUUGUAUGCAGCUUGGGAGAGAUAUAAGUAUUUGCUUAGAAAAUGUCCUAAUCAUGGGCAAAAGGAUUGGUUAGUGCUUCAGAUAUUCUAUAGAGGGCUGACACAUGCUUCAAGAGAUCUUAUUGAUAUGUCAGCUGGUGGAACAAUCAUGAACAAGACCGUCGAGGGUGCAAUUAUUCUCAUUGAGAGCAUUGCCUUCCACCAAAUGCAAUGGGGUUAUGAAAGGCCUAGUUCAAAUCCGAAGGUUGCAAGCCUCGUGCAAUCAGAAGUUGUGUGUUCCAUAAGUGAACAGAAAUCAUCCAUGGUGCCUAAUAUUCAAAACCAGCAUGUUUCAUUCCGGGGACAACAACAUUUCAGAACUGAAUUAGAUCCUCCAUAUAGAACGAUUGAUCUUACUUCAAUUAUCCUUGACGAUGAUUAUGAUAUUUUUCAAGAUGAUGAAACUACUGUAGAUCAGAUGGAAACCACAGUAGCAGAUCCAAUACCUCAUGGCAAUGAAACUGUCCAGAAUGAGUCAAAGCUGCAAGAAGAUGUUUAUGAGGAACCUACUCUGAUUGAUGCUAAGUUGAGACAGCAAGAUAUGGAGAAAUUCACUUGUGUUAGUCAACUAUGUGACUGGUGGAAUUUAGUCGUGUCACCAAUUGCCCACACUUGUGUUACAACGGUAUCUGGGCUAUUUGUCAAGAAGAAAUCAUUAGCUCCACCGGUGGUUGCCUCUAUCACAGUUAAAGAGAGUAUCUCAGAGAAGAAUAGUGAAGAUGAGAUUCCAACUCCUGCACAUACAACUAAGCAAGUCGGAGCCAUUGCAAGGAGAGAGAUACAAGAGGUUGAAUCAAAUUUAGAAGAGUUGAUACUUCAAUAUCCUGAGAAUAUCCCACGUGUUGCUGAGCUGCAUGACUGGUGGAAGUCAUCAGUGUCACUGUUGAGACUUAGUAGUGAUGGUGAUGAGGAGAACAUUGCUCAGAAAGACAGCGAGGUAGUGAUCUCAGCACCCCUACCAGAUCAUGUUAGUGAAUAUUCACAUAUGGGGACACUUCAGACUCAAUUAAGUGUUGCUGGUAGUAGCACCAUAGAAGAUCCAGAGGAAGAGAGUCCUCAACUUGAAGAAGAUUUACAAGAAGACAAGGAACAAGAUGAUCAAGAGCUGCAAUUUCCAAGUGAUCAAGUUAAAGACUCAUCAUCUACUACUCCUGAAGAAGUACAAGAAGCUGCAGUAGAUGAAUAUGAAGAACCUGAUAUUCAUUGGCCUAUUGUCAUACAUGAGCGCGAUGUGUCAGGUUUACCCAAUCCUCUUGAUGACAUGAUCCCUUGUGAUUUCUUUGCUUCUAACUUGCAUUGCAUGAUGCCAUCACUUAAGGUAGAUUUGAAAAACCAUUUGCUUGGACAUGAUCAUACACACCCUGUUAGUGGCAUUACUCUCAUUUGUGAUGAUCACAAUUACUUUCCUCGUGCUACUUCUAUGCUUAAUGAAACAUAUCAUUCCCAUGUUAGUCUUGAGCUUAAUGAUAAAUAUCAUCCUCAUGUUAGCAUUGAGCUUACUGAUUUGUACCGUCCUAAACAUGUGCUUUAUAGCUAUGCUUAUGUAAUUGGGUACUCUAUAGAUGAUUUAGAGGGCAUUACCCUUGUCACUUGUAUUGUUUCCUUGGUUGAGUGCUCUUUCAGGUUGUUGCUUGUGCAUGAUCCACUACAUGCUGACCAAGUUCGAGAUGACAUUCCCUGGGACCCCGGUGGACCCAUGGCAUGGGGAUGAGGAGAAGCAAGGAGCACACAUGAAGAGAGAAGCUGGAGCAGGCAUGAGGAUAGAGAAGCAAAAAGAGAAGAGCUGCAGCUUAGAGAGUGAUCAAGCGAGUGCUACUUCAUAGUGCCCGGUUAGCUGUUUCAUGACCCAUUCUGAGUAUAUCAUCCAUUGAUGCUUGCUGAAUUAAAUUGCUAUUUGGGUUGCUUGUGCCAUUUCUUAAAUGUUGUCCCACUGAAUUUCACCUUUGACAUAUGGUGCUUGAUGAGAAUAUGCGAACUAAUUGUUGAAUGCCUUGUAACUAGUGAUCUACACCCUGUUUGCUCUGCUGAAAGUAGUGAAAGCUAUUAGUUCUAAGUGCUCAAAUCCCUAGUACACUAGAAAACUAAAUCAUUUUCUGCAUUUACUAUGAUACACCUAGAUCACCAUGUUUAGAUGCUGAAUUUGUGCCAAGUGUGUUCCCAUUGAGAGCAAUCACCUAACCACUAUGGAAUAGCAUGCUAUGUUCCCUGGAUCGGUAGCAUGUGAACCAGACAUGGAGAAGUGAUGAUUCCUGUUUUUGUGCUUAUGCAUUGUUCAUUUAAGAUAAGUAAUAAUGAAUAAAUUAGUCUGACUACCUACAGUAGCAUGUCAUGUUCUUGGGAUCGGUGGCAUGUGAAAUCGGGUUAGCUUGGGCAGUAAUUAUUAUAAAAAUGUAAUUGUCGAACCAGGUGUAUACCAUGUUCUCGGGAUCGGUGGUAUGUUCCUUUGGGGAGACAAACAAGAAAACUAUAUAAUUGGUCGAGCCGGGUGUAUACCAUGUUCUCGGGAUCGGUGGUAUGUUCCUUUGGUGAGAUCAAUAAAAUAUUAUCAUUACUUCCUUCAAAUUCAAUAAGUGGUUCAACCACAAAGUUAUAUUUCUGCAAAUAAGAAAUUUAAUUCCAGUUCUUUUUGUUCUCGGGAUCAUGCUCUCUUUAGGAAUCAUUUGGCGCAAUCAUCAUUUAAACUUGUUGGUCCUCUUUUAUCAUUGUAAAAGUUUAAAAUGGUCAUGCUUACCAGUAUCCUACUGCUUUGUAGCACUCUUAACCAUCAAUUUUCACUAGCUAAGUCCAAAAGCAUGCAUUGUUUAGAGAUCUACUUCACUUGGACAUUCUUUACUCAGUUCACUGUUCACAUUCUUGCUCUUGUCAUAUGCCUUUGCUUGAGGACAAGCAAAGAUUUAAGUGUGGGGGAACUUGAUAAGUAUAUUUCACAUAUAUAAUUUUGGUACUCAAAUAUAGCUUCUAUCGUGACAUAUUCGUCCAUUCUUGCCAUGAUUGAUUGAAUAUUGCUGGAUAAUCAUCAAAAAGGAUCAUUUACUAGUCUUUGGUCUAUCUUGCAGAAAUGUGCACAAAGGCACUAAUAAUCGUCAAGAUUCCGUCUAUGUGGCUAUCGAGAAGAGUGAAGAAGAGAAAAGAAGGAAGAAGAGACUUGUGUGAGAUCAAGAGAAGUAACCAGGAGGCUAGGUAAAGAAGUGGGAGGACCUUCUUGUGAAGAAAGAAGAGAAGAAAGAGGGCCAAAUCACAAAGUGCAGAUGAGAGGAGGGGAACAAAAUCCCUAGGCGCUGGAGGGAUCCGAUCGGGCCUGGCCAUAUCUCCAUCUCUCUUCUCCCCCACCAGUUCUUCCACCUCAGGCCGCUGCCACGGCCAGGCCGGCGUGGUGGAUCGCCUCUGCAGCCCAGCCACCACCAUCUCCAUCCAUCUCUGCUGCGCCACCAUCCACAUCAGCACCGCUGCGCCAUCCAUCACCAGCACCAACACCCAGCGCCACCUAGCACCUCCAAACGCUCCACACCGCCGCCAUCCAUCACCACCGCACCACUGAACACCUCUGUGCGAGAGUUUCCCUGCUGCCGUCCUUCUUCCCAUGCCUCUGCUGCUGCUCUUGCUUGCGCCCCUGUGCUGCUGCCUUUCUUCUCCCCUUGCUACUGCUCCCCUUUUCUAGCGCCUCAACCUGCUGCUCCUUCUCCUUGGCCUGCUGCUAGUCCCUUUCCCCACGCCUCUGCUGCUCCUCCUCUUAAAACUGCUGCUGCUCAUCUUUCCCACGUUCCUACUCUGAACUCUGCUUCUCACCUCCGUUGCUGCUGUUUCUCUUCUGAACCUCUGCUACUGUUCAGCUCUGAACCUCUGCAUCUGUGUUGAAUGUGCUUUCAGUGUUCUUGAGAUGUGUAAAACUGUUCAAUAUUCAGCUUACAAUUUGUGAAACUUUUGUGAUUCAGUGGUGUCUCUAUGUUAUACAUAUAGCUUGUGUACUGCUUGCUGCAGUAAAUUUCAGUUUGUAAGUUCCUGUGAUAGCUCCAGUACAUGUGACUUUUAUGUUGUCUCAAGUUCCUGUUAUAUAUAUACAUAUGUGUGUGUCUGUGAUGUGAUACAUUUAUGUUCUGUCCUACAACCUUAUUGUGUUAGCAUUUUAUUUCUCAUGUAAAACGAAAAUACCAAAAAUAUUAUUGAAGAUAAUCUGAACCUCCUUUGCCCUUUUUGCAUUUUCUUUGGUGACGAUCUUUGGGUACAACCUUGUUUAGUGUAGGUUUAUUUUCUUGCAUUCAUAAUCUGAAUUGUGUUACCUAGCUUUAGCCAAGCACCGUCAUCGAUUUGCCUAGUCCCCGAUGAGAACAUGACACUCAUAGUUUGGGGCGUAAAAACCCCGCUAUAUUACAAUUGAUCAUUUUGGCGCCGUUGUCGGGGACUAGCGUCGAGCGAUUGUGCGAAGCUAUAGACUAGGCUUAGUAUAGUUUUUGUUUAAAUUUCCAGUCAAAUUUAUUUCUGUGUUUCUUUUACCUUUUUACUUUUUGUUGCUUCGGCUUAUUAGGAUACUAACCCUCUCACCAAUGUUUCAUGUUUGUGAGCGUGUGUAGGAUAUCUUAUUAUUUGUAGGCUGAUUGACAGUUGCACUUGAACAUAUGGCUUUAGUACGUGAUCUUUGGUUGCCAAGUAGUUUGGACACGAUGACAGGGCCAAUUUGGCCAUCUAUUGAGGCCAAAAAUUUUGAGUUGAGGCCUGGACUUAUUGCUCUCGUCUUGCAGAAUCAGUUCAGAGGAUUACCCAAUGAAGACCCUCAUGAGCACAUUAGUAAUGUUCUGGAGUAUGCCAAUAUAGUCCAGUAUCAUGGCGUUUCCCAAGAUGCUAUCAAGUGUAUGUUGUUCACAUUCUCUCUCAGAGAUGCUGCUAAGGACUGGUACUAUUCUUUUCCAUCAAGAUCAUACACUUGGGGUGAUAUUUCACAAGCUUUCCUGCAUAGAUAUUUUCCACUUUACAAGCAAGCUGCAAUUCGUGACCAGAUCCUCAGUUUUGCGCAAGAUGGUAGUGAGAGCUUGUAUGCAGCUUGGGAGAGAUAUAAGUAUUUGCUUAGAAAAUGUCCUAAUCAUGGGCAAAAGGAUUGGUUAGUGCUUCAGAUAUUCUAUAGAGGGAUGACACAUGCUUUAAGAGAUCUUAUUGAUAUGUCAGCUGGUGGAACAAUCAUGAACAAGACCGUCGACGUUGCAAUUAUUCUCAUUGAGAGCAUUGCCUUCCACCAAAUGCAAUGGGGUUAUGAAAGGCCUAGUUCAAAUCCGAAGGUUGCAAGCCUCGUGCAAUCAUAAGUUGUGUGUUCCAUAAGUGAACAGAAAUCAUCCAUGGUGCCUAAUAUUCAAAACCAACAUGUUUCAUUCCGUGGACAACAACAUUUCAGAACUGAAUUAGAUCCUCCAUAUAGAACGAUUGAUCUUACUUCAAUUAUCCUUGACGAUGAUUAUGAUAUUUUUCAAGAUGAUGAAACUACUGUAGAUCAGAUGGAAACCACAGUAGCAGAUCCAAUACCUCAUGGCAAUGAAACUGUCCAGAAUGAGUCAAAGCUGCAAGAAGAUGUUUAUGAGGAACCUACUCUGAUUGAUGCUAAGUUGAGACAGCAAGAUAUGGAGAAAUUCACUUGUGUUAGUCAACUAUGUGACUGGUGGAAUUUAGUCGUGUCACCAAUUGCCCACACUUGUGUUACAACGGUAUCUGGGCUAUUUGUCAAGAAGAAAUCAUUAGCUCCACCGGUGGUUGCCUCUAUCACAGUUAAAGAGAGUAUCUCAGAGAAGAAUAGUGAAGAUGAGAUUCCAACUCCUGCACAUACAACUAAGCAAGUCGGAGCCAUUCCAAGGAGAGAGAUACAAGAGGUUGAGUCAAAUUUAGAAGAGUUGAUACUUCAAUAUCCUGAGAAGAUCCCACGUGUUGCUGAGCUGCAUGACUGGUGGAAGUCAUCAGUGUCACUGUUGAGACUUAGUAGUGAUGGUGAUGAGGAGAACAUUGCUCACAAAGACAGUGAGGUAGUGAUCUCAGCACCCCUACCAGAUCAUGUUAGUGAAUAUUCACAUAUGGGGACACUUCAGACUCAAUUAAGUGUUGCUGGUAGUAGCACCAUAGAAGAUCCCGAGGAAGAGAGUCCUCAACUUGAAGAAGAUUUACAAGAAGACAAGGAACAAGAUGAUCAAGAGCUGCAAUUUCCAAGUGAUCAAGUUGAAGACUCAUCAUCUACUACUCCUGAAGAAGUACAAGAAGCUGCUGUAGAUGAAGAUGAAGAACCUGAGAUUCAUUGGCCUAUUGUCAUACAUGAGCGCGAUGUGUCAGGUUUACCCAAUCCUCUUGAUGACAUGCUCCCUUGUGAUUUCUUUGCUUCUAACUUGCAUUGCAUGAUGCCAUCACUUAAGGUAGAUUUGAAAAACUAUUUGCUUGGACAUGAUCAUACACACCCUGUUAGUGGCAUUACUCUCAUUUGUGAUGAUCACAGUUACUUUCCUCGUGCUAGUUCUAUGCUUAAUGAAACAUAUCAUUCCCAUGUUAGUCUUGAGCUUAAUGAUAAAUAUCAUCCUCAUGUUAGCAUUGAGCUUACUGAUUUGUACCGUCCUAAACAUGUGCUUUAUAGCUAUGCUUAUGUAAUUGGGUACUCUAUAGAUGAUUUAGAGGGCAUUACCCUUGUCACUUGUAUUGUUUCCUUGGUUGAGUGCUCUUUCAGGUUGUUGCUUGUGCACGAUCCACUACAUGCUGACCAAGUUCGAGAUGACAUUCCCUGGGACCCCGGUGGACCCAUGGCAUGGGGAUGAGGAGAAGCAAGGAGCACACAUGAAGAGAGAAGCUGGAGCAGGCAUGAGGAUAGGGAAGCAAAAAGAGAAGAGCUGCAGCUUAGAGAGUGAUCAAGCGAGUGCUACUUCAUAGUGCCCGGUUAGCUGUUUCAUGACCCAUUCUGAGUAUAUCAUCCAUUGAUGCUUGCUGAAUUAAAUUGCUAUUUGGGUUGCUUGUGCCAUUUCUUAAAUGUUGUCCCACUGAAUUUCACCUUUGACAUAUGGUGCUUGAUGAGAAUAUGCGAACUAAUUGUUGAAUGCCUUGUAACUAGUGAUCUACACCCUGUUUGCUCUGCUGAAAGUAGUGAAAGCUAUUAGUUCUGAGUGCUCAAAUCCCUAGUACACUAGAAAACUAAAUCAUUUUCUGCAUUUACUAUGAUACACCUACAUCACCAUGUUUAGAUGCUGAAUUUUUGCCAAGUGUGUUCCCAUUGAGAGCAAUCACCUAACCACUAUGGAAUAGCAUGCUAUGUUCCCUGGAUCGGUAGCAUGUGAACCAGACAUGGAGAAGUGAUGAUUCCUGUUUUUGUGCUUAUGCAUUGUUCAUUUAAGAUAAGUAAUAAUGAAUAAAUUAGUCUGACUACCUACAGUAGCAUGUCAUGUUCUUGGGAUCGGUGGCAUGUGAAAUCGGGUUAGCUUGGGCAGUAAUAAUAUAAAAAUGUAAUUGUCGAACCAGGUGUAUACCAUGUUCUCGGGAUCGGUGGUAUGUUCCUUUGGGGAGACAAACAAGAAAACUAUAUAAUUGGUCGAGCCGGGUGUAUACCAUGUUCUCGAGAUCGGUGGUAUGUUCCUUUGGUGAGAUCAAUAAAAUAUUAUCAUUACUUCCUUCAAAUUCAAUAAGUGGUUCAACAACAAAGUUAUAUUUCUGCAAAUAAGAGAUUUAAUUCCAGUUCUUUUUGUUCUCGGGAUCAUGCUCUCUUUAGGAAUCAUUUGGCGCAAUCAUCAUUUAAACUUGUUGGUCCUCUUUUAUCAUUGUAAAAGUUUAAAAUGGUCAUGCUUACCAGUAUCCUACUGCUUUGUAGCACUCUUAACCAUCAAUUUUCACUAGCUAAGUCCAAAAGCAUGCAUUGUUUAGAGAUCUACUUCACUUGGACAUUCUUUACUCAGUUCACUGUUCACAUUCUUGCUCUUGUCAUAUGCCUUUGCUUGAGGACAAGCAAAGAUUUAAGUGUGGGGGAACUUGAUAAGUAUAUUUCACAUAUAUAAUUUUGGUACUCAAAUAUAGCUUCUAUCGUGACAUAUUCGUCCAUUCUUGCCAUGAUUGAUUGAAUAUUCCUUGAUAAUCAUCAAAAAGGAUCAUUUACUAGUCUUUGGUCUAUCUUGCAGAAAUGUGCACAAAGGCACUAAUAAUCGUCAAGAUUCCGUCUAUGUGGCUAUCGAGAAGAGUGAAGAAGAGAAGAGAAGGAAGAAGAGACUUGUGUGAGAUGAAGAGAAGUAACCAGGGGGCUAGGUAAAGAAGUGGGAGGACCUUCUUGUGAAGAAAGAAGAGAAGAAAGAGGGCCAAAUCACAAAGUGCAGAUGAGAGGAGGGGAACAAAAUCCCUAGGCGCUGGAGGGAUCCGAUCGGGCCUGGCCAUAUCUCCAUCUCUCUUCUCCCCCACCACUUCUUCCACCUCAGGCCGCUGUCUCGGCCAGGCCGGCGUGGUGGUGCGCCUCUGCAGCCCAGCCACCACCAUCUCCAUCCAUCUCCGCUGCGCCACCAUCCACAUCAGCGCCGCUGCGCCAUCCAUCACCAGCACCAACACCCAGCGCCACCCAGCACCUCCACACACUCCACACCGCCGCCAUCCAUCACCACCGCACCACUGAACACCUCCGCGCGAGAGUUUCCCUGCUGCCGUCCUUCUUCCCUUGCCUCUGCUGCUGCUCUUGCUUGCGCCCCUGUGCUGCUGCCUUUCUUCUCCCCUUGCUACUGCUCCCCUUUUCUAGCGCCUCAACCUGCUGCUCCUUCUCCUUCGCCUGCUGCUAGUCCCUUUCCCCAUGCCUCUGCUGCUCCUCCUCUUAAAACUGCUGCUGCUCUUCUUCCCCACGUUCCUGCUCUGCACUCUGCUUCUCACCUCCGUUGCUGCUGUUUCUCUUCUGAACCUCUGCUACUGUUCAGCUCUGAACCUCUGCAUCUGUGUUGAAUGUGCUUUCAGUGUUCUUGACAUGUGUAAAACUGUUCAAUAUUCAGCUUACAAUUUGUGAAACUUUUGUGAUACAGUGAUGUCUCUAUGUUAUACAUAUAGCUUGUGUACUGCUUGCUGCAGUAAAUUUCAGUUUGUAAGUUCCUGUGAUAGCUCCAGUACAUGUGACUUUUAUGUUGUCUCAAGUUCCUGUUAUAUAUAUACAUAUGUGUGUGUCUGUGAUGUGAUACAUUUAUGUUCUGUCCUACAACCUUAUUGUGUUAGCAUUUUAUUUCUCAUGUAAAACGAAAAUACCAAAAAUAUUAUUGAAGAUAAUCUGAACCUCCUUUGCCCUUUUUGCAUUUUCUUUGGUGACGAUCUUUGGGUACAACCUUGUUUAGUGUAGGUUUAUUUUCUUGCAUUCAUAAUCUGAAUUGUGUUACCUAGCUUUAGCCAACCACCGUCAUUGAUUUGCCUAGUCCCUCAUGAGAACACGACACUCAUAGUUUGGGGCGUAAAAACCCCGCUAUAUUACAAUUGAUCAUUUUGGCGCCGUUGCCGGGGACUAGCGUCGAGCGAUUGUGCGAAGCUAUAGACUAGGCUUAGUAUAGUUUUUGUUUAAAUUUCCAGUCAAAUUUAUUUCUGUGUUUCUUUUACCUUUUUACUAUUUGUUGCUUCGGCUUAUUAGGAUACUAACCCUCUCACCAAUGUUUCAUGUUUGUGAGCGUGUGUAGGAUAUCUUAUUAUUUGUAGGCUGAUUGACAGUUGCACUUGAACAUAUGGCUUUAGUACGUGAUCUUUGGUUGCCAAGUAGUUUGGACACGAUGACAGGGCCAAUUUGGCCAUCUAUUGAGGCCAAAAAUUUUGAGUUGAGGCCUGGACUUAUUGCUCUCGUCUUGCAGAAUCAGUUUAGAGGAUUACCCAAUGAAGACCCUCAUGAGCACAUUAGUAAUGUUCUGGAGUAUGCCAAUACAGUCUAGUAUCAUGGCGUUUCCCAAGAUGCUAUCAAGUGUAUGUUGUUCACAUUCUCUCUCAGAGAUGCUGCUAAGGACUGGUACUAUUCUUUUCCAUCAAGAUCAUACACUUGGGGUGAUAUUUCACAAGCUUUCCUGCAUAGAUAUUUUCCACUUUACAAGCAAGCUGCAAUUCGUGACCAGAUCCUCAGUUCUGCGCAAGAUGGUAGUGAGAGCUUGUAUGCAGCUUGGGAGAGAUAUAAGUAUUUGCUUAGAAAAUGUCCUAAUCAUGGGCAAAAGGAUUGGUUAGUGCUUCAGAUAUUCUAUAGAGGGAUGACACAUGCUUCAAGAGAUCUUAUUGAUAUGUCAACUGGUGGAACAAUCAUGAACAAGACCGUCGAGGGUGCAAUUAUUCUCAUUGAGAGCAUUGCCUUCCACCAAAUUCAAUGGGGUUAUCAAAGGCCUAGUUCAAAUCCGAAGGUUGCAAGCCUCGUGCAAUCAAAAGUUGUGUGUUCCAUAAGUGAACAGAAAUCAUCCAUGGUGCCUAAUAUUCAAAACCAGCAUGUUUCAUUCCGGGGACAACAACAUUUCAGAACUGAAUUAGAUCCUCCAUAUAGAACGAUUGAUCUUACUUCAAUUAUCCUUGAUGAUGAUUAUGAUAUUUUUCAAGAUGAUGAAACUACUGUAGAUCAGAUGGAAACCACAGUAGCAGAUCCAAUACCUCAUGGCAAUGAAACUAUCCAGAAUGAGUCAAAGCUGCAAGAAGAUGUUUAUGAGGAACCUACUCUGAUUGAUGCUAAGUUGAGACAGCAAGAUAUGGAGAAAUUCACUUGUGUUAGUCAACUAUGUGACUGGUGGAAUUUAGUCGUGUCACCAAUUGCCCACACUUGUGUUACAACGGUAUCUGGGCUAUUUGUCAAGAAGAAAUCAUUAGCUCCACCGGUGGUUGCCUCUAUCACAGUUAAAGAGAGUAUCUCAGAGAAGAAUAGUGAAGAUGAGAUUCCAACUCCUGCACAUACAACUAAGCAAGUCGGAGCCAUUCCAAGGAGAGAGAUACAAGAGGUUGAGUCAAAUUUAGAAGAGUUGAUACUUCAAUAUCCUGAGAAGAUCCCACGUGUUGCUGAGCUGCAUGACUGGUGGAAGUCAUCAGUGUCACUGUUGAGACUUAGUAGUGAUGGUGAUGAGGAGAACAUUGCUCACAAAGACAGUGAGGUAGUGAUCUCAGCACCCCUACCAGAUCAUGUUAGUGAAUAUUCACAUAUGGGGACACUUCAGACUCAAUUAAGUGUUGCUGGUAGUAGCACCAUAGAAGAUCCNNNNNNNNNNNNNNNNNNNNNNNNNNNNNNNNNNNNNNNNNNNNNNNNNNNNNNNNNNNNNNNNNNNNNNNNNNNNNNNNNNNNNNNNNNNNNNNNNNNNNNNNNNNNNNNNNNNNNNNNNNNNNNNNNNNNNNNNNNNNNNNNNNNNNNNNNNNNNNNNNNNNNNNNNNNNNNNNNNNNNNNNNNNNNNNNNNNNNNNNNNNNNNNNNNNNNNNNNNNNNNNNNNNNNNNNNNNNNNNNNNNNNNNNNNNNNNNNNNNNNNNNNNNNNNNNNNNNNNNNNNNNNNNNNNNNNNNNNNNNNNNNNNNNNNNNNNNNNNNNNNNNNNGAGGAAGAGAGUCCUCAACUUGAAGAAGAUUUACAAGAAGACAAGGAACAAGAUGAUCAAGAGCUGCAAUUUCCAAGUGAUCAAGUUGAAGACUCAUCAUCUACUACUCCUGAAGAAGUACAAGAAGCUGCUGUAGAUGAAGAUGAAGAACCUGAGAUUCAUUGGCCUAUUGUCAUACAUGAGCGCGAUGUGUCAGGUUUACCCAAUCCUCUUGAUGACAUGCUCCCUUGUGAUUUCUUUGCUUCUAACUUGCAUUGCAUGAUGCCAUCACUUAAGGUAGAUUUGAAAAACUAUUUGCUUGGACAUGAUCAUACACACCCUGUUAGUGGCAUUACUCUCAUUUGUGAUGAUCACAGUUACUUUCCUCGUGCUAGUUCUAUGCUUAAUGAAACAUAUCAUUCCCAUGUUAGUCUUGAGCUUAAUGAUAAAUAUCAUCCUCAUGUUAGCAUUGAGCUUACUGAUUUGUACCGUCCUAAACAUGUGCUUUAUAGCUAUGCUUAUGUAAUUGGGUACUCUAUAGAUGAUUUAGAGGGCAUUACCCUUGUCACUUGUAUUGUUUCCUUGGUUGAGUGCUCUUUCAGGUUGUUGCUUGUGCACGAUCCACUACAUGCUGACCAAGUUCGAGAUGACAUUCCCUGGGACCCCGGUGGACCCAUGGCAUGGGGAUGAGGAGAAGCAAGGAGCACACAUGAAGAGAGAAGCUGGAGCAGGCAUGAGGAUAGGGAAGCAAAAAGAGAAGAGCUGCAGCUUAGAGAGUGAUCAAGCGAGUGCUACUUCAUAGUGCCCGGUUAGCUGUUUCAUGACCCAUUCUGAGUAUAUCAUCCAUUGAUGCUUGCUGAAUUAACUUGCUAUUUGGGUUGCUUGUGCCAUUUCUUAAAUGUUGUCCCACUGAAUUUCACCUUUGACAUAUGGUGCUUGAUGAGAAUAUGCGAACUAAUUGUUGAAUGCCUUGUAACUAGUGAUCUACACCCUGUUUGCUCUGCUGAAAGUAGUGAAAGCUGUUAGUUCUGAGUGCUCAAAUCCCUAGUACACUAGAAAACUAAAUCAUUUUCUGCAUUUACUAUGAUACACCUACAUCACCAUGUUUAGAUGCUGAAUUUUUGCCAAGUGUGUUCCCAUUGAGAGCAAUCACCUAACCACUAUGGAAUAGCAUGCUAUGUUCCCUGGAUCGGUAGCAUGUGAACCAGACAUGGAGAAGUGAUGAUUCCUGUUUUUGUGCUUAUGCAUUGUUCAUUUAAGAUAAGUAAUAAUGAAUAAAUUAGUCUGACUACCUACAGUAGCAUGUCAUGUUCUUGGGAUCGGUGGCAUGUGAAAUCGGGUUAGCUUGGGCAGUAAUAAUAUAAAAAUGUAAUUGUCGAACCAGGUGUAUACCAUGUUCUCGGGAUCGGUGGUAUGUUCCUUUGGGGAGACAAACAAGAAAACUAUAUAAUUGGUCGAGCCGGGUGUAUACCAUGUUCUCGAGAUCGGUGGUAUGUUCCUUUGGUGAGAUCAAUAAAAUAUUAGCAUUACUUCCUUCAAAUUCAAUAAGUGGUUCAACAACAAAGUUAUAUUUCUGCAAAUAAGAGAUUUAAUUCCAGUUCUUUUUGUUCUCGGGAUCAUGCUCUCUUUAGGAAUCAUUUGGCGCAAUCAUCAUUUAAACUUGUUGGUCCUCUUUUAUCAUUGUAAAAGUUUAAAAUGGUCAUGCUUACCAGUAUCCUACUGCUUUGUAGCACUCUUAACCAUCAAUUUUCACUAGCUAAGUCCAAAAGCAUGCAUUGUUUAGAGAUCUACUUCACUUGGACAUUCUUUACUCAGUUCACUGUUCACAUUCUUGCUCUUGUCAUAUGCCUUUGCUUGAGGACAAGCAAAGAUUUAAGUGUGGGGGAACUUGAUAAGUAUAUUUCACAUAUAUAAUUUUGGUACUCAAAUAUAGCUUCUAUCGUGACAUAUUCGUCCAUUCUUGCCAUGAUUGAUUGAAUAUUGCUUGAUAAUCAUCAAAAAGGAUCAUUUACUAGUCUUUGGUCUAUCUUGCAGAAAUGUGCACAAAGGCACUAAUAAUCGUCAAGAUUCCGUCUAUGUGGCUAUCGAGAAGAGUGAAGAAGAGAAGAGAAGGAAGAAGAGACUUGUGUGAGAUGAAGAGAAGUAACCAGGGGGCUAGGUAAAGAAGUGGGAGGACCUUCUUGUGAAGAAAGAAGAGAAGAAAGAGGGCCAAAUCACAAAGUGCAGAUGAGAGGAGGGGAACAAAAUCCCUAGGCGCUGGAGGGAUCCGAUCGGGCCUGGCCAUAUCUCCAUCUCUCUUCUCCCCCACCACUUCUUCCACCUCAGGCCGCUGUCUCGGCCAGGCCGGCGUGGUGGUGCGCCUCUGCAGCCCAGCCACCACCAUCUCCAUCCAUCUCCGCUGCGCCACCAUCCACAUCAGCGCCGCUGCGCCAUCCAUCACCAGCACCAACACCCAGCGCCACCCAGCACCUCCACACACUCCACACCGCCGCCAUCCAUCACCACCGCACCACUGAACACCUCCGCGCGAGAGUUUCCCUGCUGCCGUCCUUCUUCCCUUGCCUCUGCUGCUGCUCUUGCUUGCGCCCCUGUGCUGCUGCCUUUCUUCUCCCCUUGCUACUGCUCCCCUUUUCUAGCGCCUCAACCUGCUGCUCCUUCUCCUUCGCCUGCUGCUAGUCCCUUUCCCCAUGCCUCUGCUGCUCCUCCUCUUAAAACUGCUGCUGCUCUUCUUCCCCACGUUCCUGCUCUGCACUCUGCUUCUCACCUCCGUUGCUGCUGUUUCUCUUCUGAACCUCUGCUACUGUUCAGCUCUGAACCUCUGCAUCUGUGUUGAAUGUGCUUUCAGUGUUCUUGACAUGUGUAAAACUGUUCAAUAUUCAGCUUACAAUUUGUGAAACUUUUGUGAUACAGUGAUGUCUCUAUGUUAUACAUAUAGCUUGUGUACUGCUUGCUGCAGUAAAUUUCAGUUUGUAAGUUCCUGUGAUAGCUCCAGUACAUGUGACUUUUAUGUUGUCUCAAGUUCCUGUUAUAUAUAUACAUAUGUGUGUGUCUGUGAUCUGAAACAUUUAUGUUCUAUCCUACAACCUUAUUGUGUUAGCAUUUUAUUUCUCAUGUAAAACGAAAAUACCAAAAAUAUUAUUGAAGAUAAUCUGAACCUCCUUUGCCCUUUUUGCAUUUUCUUUGGUGACGAUCUUUGGGUACAACCUUGUUUAGUGUAGGUUUAUUUUCUUGCAUUCAUAAUCUGAAUUGUGUUACCUAGCUUUAGCCAACCACCGUCAUUGAUUUGCCUAGUCCCUCAUGAGAACACGACACUCAUAGUUUGGGGCGUAAAAACCCCGCUAUAUUACAAUUGAUCAUUUUGGCGCCGUUGCCGGGGACUAGCGUCGAGCGAUUGUGCGAAGCUAUAGACUAGGCUUAGUAUAGUUUUUGUUUAAAUUUCCAGUCAAAUUUAUUUCUGUGUUUCUUUUACCUUUUUACUAUUUGUUGCUUCGGCUUAUUAGGAUACUAACCCUCUCACCAAUGUUUCAUGUUUGUGAGCGUGUGUAGGAUAUCUUAUUAUUUGUAGGCUGAUUGAUAGUUGCACUUGAACAUAUGGCUUUAGUACGUGAUCUUUGGUUGCCAAGUAGUUUGGACACGAUGACAGGGCCAAUUUGGCCAUCUAUUGAGGCCAAAAAUUUUGAGUUGAGGCCUGGACUUAUUGCUCUCGUCUUGCAGAAUCAGUUUAGAGGAUUACCCAAUGAAGACCCUCAUGAGCACAUUAGUAAUGUUCUGGAGUAUGCCAAUACAGUCUAGUAUCAUGGCGUUUCCCAAGAUGCUAUCAAGUGUAUGUUGUUCACAUUCUCUCUCAGAGAUGCUGCUAAGGACUGGUACUAUUCUUUUCCAUCAAGAUCAUACACUUGGGGUGAUAUUUCACAAGCUUUCCUGCAUAGAUAUUUUCCACUUUACAAGCAAGCUGCAAUUCGUGACCAGAUCCUCAGUUCUGCGCAAGAUGGUAGUGAGAGCUUGUAUGCAGCUUGGGAGAGAUAUAAGUAUUUGCUUAGAAAAUGUCCUAAUCAUGGGCAAAAGGAUUGGUUAGUGCUUCAGAUAUUCUAUAGAGGGAUGACACAUGCUUCAAGAGAUCUUAUUGAUAUGUCAACUGGUGGAACAAUCAUGAACAAGACCGUCGAGGGUGCAAUUAUUCUCAUUGAGAGCAUUGCCUUCCACCAAAUUCAAUGGGGUUAUGAAAGGCCUAGUUCAAAUCCGAAGGUUGCAAGCCUCGUGCAAUCAAAAGUUGUGUGUUCCAUAAGUGAACAGAAAUCAUCCAUGGUGCCUAAUAUUCAAAACCAGCAUGUUUCAUUCCGGGGACAACAACAUUUCAGAACUGAAUUAAAUCCUCCAUAUAGAACGAUUGAUCUUACUUCAAUUAUCCUUGAUGAUGAUUAUGAUAUUUUUCAAGAUGAUGAAACUACUGUAGAUCAGAUGGAAACCACAGUAGCAGAUCCAAUACCUCAUGGCAAUGAAACUGUCCAGAAUGAGUCAAAGCUGCAAGAAGAUGUUUAUGAGGAACCUACUCUGAUUGAUGCUAAGUUGAGACAGCAAGAUAUGGAGAUAUUCACUUGUGUUAGUCAACUAUGUGACUGGUGGAAUUUAGUCGUGUCACCAAUUGCCCACACUUGUGUUACAACGGUAUCUGGGCUAUUUGUCAAGAAGAAAUCAUUAGCUCCACCGGUGGUUGCCUCUAUCACAGUUAAAGAGAGUAUCUCAGAGAAGAAUAGUGAAGAUGAUAUUCCAACUCCUGCACAUACAACUAAGCAAGUCGGAGCCAUUCCAAGGAGAGAGAUACAAGAGGUUGAGUCAAAUUUAGAAGAGUUGAUACUUCAAUAUCCUGAGAAGAUCCCACGUGUUGCUGAGCUGCAUGACUGGUGGAAGUCAUCAGUGUCACUGUGGAGACUUAGUAGUGAUGGUGAUGAGGAGAACAUUGCUCAGAAAGACAACGAGGUAGUGAUCUCAGCACCCCUACCAGAUCAUGUUAGUGAAUAUUCACAUAUGGGGACACUUCAGACUCAAUUAAGUGUUGCUGGUAGUAGCACCAUAGAAGAUCCAGAGGAAGAGAGUCCUCAACUUGAAGAAGAUUUACAAGAAGACAAGGAACAAGAUGAUCAAGAGCUGCAAUUUCCAAGUGAUCAAGUUGAAGACUCAUCAUCUACUACUCCUGAAGAAGUACAAGAUGCUGCUAUAGAUGAAGAUGAAGAACCUGAGAUUCAUUGGCCUAUUGUCAUACAUGAGCGCGAUGUGUCAGGUUUACCCAAUCCUCUUGAUGACAUGCUCCCUUGUGACUUCUUUGCUUCUAACUUGCAUUGCAUGAUGCCAUCACUUAAGGUAGAUUUGAAAAACUAUUUGCUUGGACAUGAUCAUACACACCCUGUUAGUGGCAUUACUCUCAUUUGUGAUGAUCACAGUUACUUUCCUCGUGCUAGUUCUAUGCUUAAUGAAACAUAUCAUUCCCAUGUUAGUCUUGAGCUUAAUGAUAAAUAUCAUCCUCAUGUUAGCAUUGAGCUUACUGAUUUGUACCGUCCUAAACAUGUGCUUUAUAGCUAUGCUUAUGUAAUUGGGUACUCUAUAGAUGAUUUAGAGGGCAUUACCCUUGUCACUUGUAUUGUUUCCCUGGUUGAGUGCUCUUUCAGGUUGUUGCUUGUGCACGAUCCACUACAUGCUGACCAAGUUCGAGAUGACAUUCCCUGGGACCCCGGUGGACCCAUGGCAUGGGGAUGAGGAGAAGCAAGGAGCACACAUGAAGAGAGAAGCUGGAGCAGGCAUGAGGAUAGAGAAGCAAAAAGAGAAGAGCUGCAGCUUAGAGAGUGAUCAAGCGAGUGCUACUUCAUAGUGCCCGGUUAGCUGUUUCAUGACCCAUUCUGAGUAUAUCAUCCAUUGAUGCUUGCUGAAUUAAAUUGCUAUUUGGGUUGCUUGUGCCAUUUAUUAAAUGUUGUCCCACUGAAUUUCACCUUUGACAUAUGGUGCUUGAUGAGAAUAUGCGAACUAAUUGUUGAACGCCUUGUAACUAGUGAUCUACACCCUGUUUGCACUGCUGAAAGUAGUGAAAGCUAUUAGUUCUGAGUGCUCAAAUCCCUAGUACACUAGAAAACUAAAUCAUUUUCUGCAUUUACUAUGAUACACCUAGAUCACCAUGUUUAGAUGCUGAAUUUGUGCCAAGUGUGUUCCCAUUGAGAGCAAUCACCUAACCACUAUGGAAUAGCAUGCUAUGUUCCCUGGAUCGGUAGCAUGUGAACCAGACAUGGAGAAGUGAUGAUUCCUAUUUUUGUGCUUAUGCAUUGUUCAUUUAAGAUAAGUAAUAAUGAAUAAAUUAGUCUGACUACCUACAGUAGCAUGUCAUGUUCUUGGGAUCGGUGGCAUGUGAAAUCGGGUUAGCUUGGGCAGUAAUUAUUAUAAAAAUGUAAUUGUCGAACCAGGUGUAUACCAUGUUCUCGGGAUCGGUGGUAUGUUCCUUUGGGGAGACAAACAAGAAAACUAUAUAAUUGGUCGAGCCGGGUGUAUACCAUGUUCUCGGGAUCGGUGGUAUGUUCCUUUGGUGAGAUCAAUAAAAUAUUAUCAUUACUUCCUUCAAAUUCAAUAAGUGGUUCAACCACAAAGUUAUAUUUCUGCAAAUAAGAGAUUUAAUUCCAGUUCUUUUUGUUCUCGGGAUCAUGCUCUCUUUAGGAAUCAUUUGGCGCAAUCAUCAUUUAAACUUGUUGGUCCUCUUUUAUCAUUGUAAAAGUUUAAAAUGGUCAUGCUUACCAGUAUCCUACUGCUUUGUAGCACUCUUAACCAUCAAUUUUCACUAGCUAAGUCCAAAAGCAUGCAUUGUUUAGAGAUCUACUUCACUUGGACAUUCUUUACUCAGUUCACUGUUCACAUUCUUGCUCUUGUCAUAUGCCUUUACUUGAGGACAAGCAAAGAUUUAAGUGUGGGGGAACUUGAUAAGUAUAUUUCACAUAUAUAAUUUUGGUACUCAAAUAUAGCUUCUAUCGUGACAUAUUCGUCCAUUCUUGCCAUGAUUGAUUGAAUAUUGCUUGAUAAUCAUCAAAGAGGAUCAUUUACUAGUCUUUGGUCUAUCUUGCAGAAAUGUGCGCAAAGGCACUAAUAAUCGUCAAGAUUCCGUCUAUGUGGCUAUCGUGAAGAGUGAAGAAGAGAAGAGAAGGAAGAAGAGACUUGUGUGAGAUGAAGAGAAGUAACCAGGGGGCUAGGUAAAGAAGUGGGAGGACCUUCUUGUGAAGAAAGAAGAGAAGAAAGAGGGCCAAAUCACAAAGUGCAGAUGAGAGGAGGGGAACAAAAUCUAGGCGCUGGAGGGAUCCGAUCGGGCCUGGCCAUAUCUCCAUCUCUCUUCUCCCCCACCACUUCUUCCACCUCAGGCCGCCGCCACGGCCAGGCCGGCGUGGUGGUGUGCCUCUGCAGCCCAGCCACCACCAUCUCCAUCCAUCUCCGCUGCGGCACCAUCCACAUCAGCGCCGCUGCGCCAUCCAUCACCAGCACCAACACCCAGCGCCACCUAGCACCUCCACACGCUCCACACCGCCACCAUCUAUCACCACCGCACCACUGAACACCUCCGUGCGAGAGUUUCCCUGCUGCCGUCCUUCUUCCCUUGCCUCUGUAGCUGCUCUUUCUUGCGCCCCUGUGCUGCUGCCUUUCUUCUCCCCUUGCUACUGCUCCCCUUUUCUAGCGCCUCAACCUGCUGCUGCUUCUCCUUCGCCUGCUGCUAGUCCCUUUCCCCACGCCUCUGCUGCUCCUCCUCUUAAAACUGCUACUGCUCUUCUUUCCCACGUUCCUGCUCUGCACUCUGCUUCUCACCUCCGUUGCUGCUGUUUCUCUUCUGAACCUCUGCUACUGUUCAACUCUGAACCUCUGCAUCUGUGUUGAAUGUGCUUUCAGUGUUCUUGAGAUGUGUAAAACUGUUCAAUAUUCAGCUUACAAUUUGUGAAACUUUUGUGAUUCAGCGGUGUCUCUAUGUUAUACAUAUAGAUUGUGUAUUGCUCGCUGCAGUAAAUUUCAGUUUGUAAGUUCCUGUGAUAGCUCUAGUACAUGUGACUUUUAUGUUGUCUCAAGUUCCUGUUAUAUAUAUACAUAUGUGUGUGUCUGUGAUGUGAUACAUUUAUGUUCUGUCCUACAACCUUAUUGUGUUAGCAUUUUAUUUCUCAUGUAAAACGAAAAUACCAAAAAUAUUAUUGAAGAUAAUCUGAACCUCCUUUGCCCUUUUUGCAUUUUCUUUGGUGAUGAUCUUUGGGUACAACCUUGUUUAGUAUAGGUUUAUUUUCUUGCAUUCAUAAUCUGAAUUGUGUUACCUAGCUUUAGCCAAGCACCAUCAUCGAUUUGGCUAGUCCCUGAUGAGAACACGACACUCGUAAUUUGGGGCGUAAAAACCCCGCUAUAUUACAAUUGAUCAUUUUGGCGCCGUUGCCGGGGACUAGCGUCGAGCGAUUGUGCGAAGCUGUAGACUAGGCUUAGUAUAGUUUUUGUUUAAAUUUCCAGUCAAAUUUAUUUCUGUGUUUCUUUUACCUUUUUACUUUUUGUUGCUUCGGCUUAUUAGGAUACUAACCCUCUCACCAAUGUUUCAUGUUUGUGAGCGUGUGUAGGAUAUCUUAUUAUUUGUAGGCUGAUUGACAGUUGCACUUGAACAUAUGGCUUUAGUACGUGAUCUUUGGUUGCCAAGUAGUUUGGACACGAUGACAGGGCCAAUUUGGCCAUCUAUUGAGGCCAAAAUUUUUGAGUUGAGGCCUGGACUUAUUGCUCUCGUCUUGCAGAAUCAGUUUAGAGGAUUACCCAAUGAAGACCCUCAUGAGCACAUUAGUAAUGUUCUGGAGUAUGCCAAUACAGUCCAGUAUCAUGGCGUUUCCCAAGAUGCUAUCAAGUGUAUGUUGUUCACAUUCUCUCUCAGAGAUGCUGCUAAGGACUGGUACUAUUCUUUGCCAUCAAGAUCAUACACUUGGGGUGAUAUUUCACAAGCUUUCCUGCAUAGAUAUUUUCCACUUUACAAGCAAGCUGCAAUUCGUGACCAGAUCCUCAGUUUUGCGCAAGAUGGUAGUGAGAGCUUGUAUGCAGCUUGGGAGAGAUAUAAGUAUUUGCUUAGAAAAUGUCCUAAUCAUGGGCAAAAGGAUUGGUUAGUGCUUCAGAUAUUCUAUAGAGGGCUGACACAUGCUUUAAGAGAUCUUAUUGAUAUGUCAGCUGGUGGAACAAUCAUGAACAAGACCGUCGAGGGUGCAAUUAUUCUCAUUGAGAGCAUUGCCUUCCACCAAAUGCAAUGGGGUUAUGAAAGGCCUAGUUCAAAUCCGAAGGUUGCAAGCCUCGUGCAAUCAGAAGUUGUGUGUUCCAUAAGUGAACAUAAAUCAUCCAUGGUGCCUAAUAUUCAAAACUAGAAUGUUUCAUUCCGGGGACAACAACAUUUUAGAACUGAAUUAGAUCCUCCAUAUAGAAUGAUUGAUCUUACUUCAAUUAUCCUUGACGAUGAUUAUGAUAUUUUUCAAGAUGAUGAAACUACUGUAGAUCAGAUGGAAACCACAGUAGCAGAUCCAAUACCUCAUGGCAAUGAAACUGUCCAGAAUGAGUCAAAGCUGCAAGAAGAUGUUUAUGAGGAACCUACUCUGAUUGAUGCUAAGUUGAGACAGCAAGAUAUGGAGAAAUUCACUUGUGUUAGUCAACUAUGUGACUGGUGGAAUUUAGUCGUGUCACCAAUUGCCCACACUUGUGUUACAACGGUAUCUGGGCUAUUUGUCAAGAAGAAAUCAUUAGCUCCACCGGUGGUUGCCUCUAUCACAGUUAAAGAGAGUAUCUCAGAGAAGAAUAGUGAAGAUGAGAUUCCAACUCCUGCACAUACAACUAAGCAAGUCGGAGCCAUUCCAAGGAGAGAGAUACAAGAGGUUGAGUCAAAUUUAGAAGAGUUGAUACUUCAAUAUCCUGCGAAGAUCCCACGUGUUGCUGAGCUGCAUGACUGGUGGAAGUCAUCAGUGUCACUGUUGAGACUUAGUAGUGAUGGUGAUGAGGAGAACAUUGCUCAGAAAGACAGCGAGGUAGUGAUCUCAGCACCCCUACCAGAUCAUGUUAGUGAAUAUUCACAUAUGGGGACACUUCAGACUCAAUUAAGUGUUGCUGGUAGUAGCACCAUAGAAGAUCCAGAGGAAGAGAGUCCUCAACUUGAAGAAGAUUUACAAGAAGACAAGGAACAAGAUGAUCAAGAGCUGCAAUUUCCAAGUGAUCAAGUUGAAGACUCAUCAUCUACUACUCCUGAAGAAGUAUAAGAUGCUGCUGUAGAUGAAGAUGAAGAACCUGAGAUUCAUUGGCCUAUUGUCAUACAUGAGCCCGAUGUGUCAGGUUUACCCAAUCCUCUUGAUGACAUGCUCCCUUGUGAUUUCUUUGCUUCUAACUUGCAUUGCAUGAUGCCAUCACUUAAGGUAGAUUUGAAAAACUAUUUGAUGGGGUUAUGUACCUAGGGUAGGGUCAUGGACCUGUUCCAAGUAACUUACCCCAAGACAUCCUUAGAGGAGGUCGCCUUCCAGUCGACCAAUGAGGACUCACUCGACUGGCCUGAAGGACUCGACCACGAAGACUCACUCGACCACCAGGAGGUCAAGAGGCACUCUGCACUGCAACGGCCUGUAAUCAAGUAGACUUUAUGAUAGUAAAGGCACUUUAUGUGGGGCGUUACCAGUAACGCCCCAGACUUAACUCACCUUAAACCCUCUCCUGCGUGGGCUGGCUAGGGUCCUGGCGCACUCUAUAUAAGCCACCCUCCUCCACAGGCAGAGGGGUUCGGCACCUUGUAAUUCAUGCAUUCAUAAUCCACUCGACCGCCUCCGGGCUCCGAGACGUAGGGCUGUUACUUCUUCCGAGAAGGGCAUGAACUCGUACAUCCUUUGUGCUUACAACCUCUCCAUAGCUAGGACCUUGCCUCUCCAUACCUACCCCCCACUCUACUGUCAGGCUUAGAACCACGACAGUUGGCGCCCACCGUGGGGCCGGUGUUUUAGCGAUUUUGUGGAGAAGUUGCGAUUCUUCCGAGUACUCUCAUCAUGGUGUCUGCUGGAGUUUUGGUUGAGGGUCAAGAGAUCCGUCUCGGCACUCUCACCUUCAUCGCCGACGACUCCGCAUGGCUCCAGGAGGCUCCACUCGACGUAGACGCGCUCCCCGUCCGCGGUGCGACGCAUUUUCGCGCAUGUGUCCGCGGCGUUCUGCUGCGGCAACCGUCGACCCAGUAUCGGUCGGCUCCUCCAUCGUCCACCCUCCCGGUCUCCCGCCAGCGCAAGCGCUCAGGCCGGUCGAGGCUUCAGCGAUGGGUGAGUCACGCAGUGACUCGCCAAUCGGCCACUACACAAGUUGCGGCAAUCGAGCCCAACGAAUCUCUCUACAGCUUGUUCGAUCAGUCGACUGGCUCCGGAGAGACUGCAUCCGAGUGCGGAAGCAGUGAUCCAGCGGCGGAAAUCUUGAUGGUCGACGGGCCCCACAGCCCUCCUGGCUUCGCCCGUGGUGGUGGAGCAGGUGACGGCGGCGACCCUGCAUGAGACUACGAAGAGUACCAGCCCGAGCCACUCGACUCUCUGCAAAGAGAAGAGCUUCGCCGCAGGAACGAGGAUCCCCUGCGUAUUCCCAUCGCAGGAGAAACCCCCGAGGCUCGUGCCUUGGAGGAGGCGCGUCUGGCCAAUUUGGCCGAGCGCACUCGACUGGAGAACCUUCAGCGAGCACUCGACGAGCGCGCGCGGCAACGAGUUCCCGACACCAGUCGACGUCAACUCUUCCCGCCGACUCAGGUAUAUCGAACCCCAAUUCAGAAUUUAGCAGCUGCGACCCGUAUAGCAGAGUCCAUUCAGCCUUCGCAGUCGGAAGCUGGCAGAGGUUUGCUGCAGAUCAGGGAUCUGCUCCGGGCGGCAGGAGAUCAGAAUUCAGCCGUGUCUCAGUCGCGCAACAGAAUUCACAGUCGAUCUGUCACUGUGAAUACGGUUCAGUCGGCUCACAGCCCCAGAUCGCCUCCGCGGCGCGAAGGGCGUGAGAAUCGGCGAGAUCAAUAUGGCGACAGACUCGACCGAGAUGAUAGGCGUCGAAUGCCCUAUUCCCCUCCGAGGGGUGGGUCUUACGCUCCUCGGCAGCCAGAUGAUAGGCGUCAGUACAGUACAGGGCGUAGGGUUCCAGUUGACCCCAGAGAGCCAGGCUUCGACGCGCGAUCCAUUAUCGUGCAAGGGUUGGUCGACCGGAACAGAGCCCAUCGAGGCGCACUCGACAGAGAUGUACCCACGAGCAGUCGAGUACAUGUUUCUGGUCCUGAAUGUUUCAGCAGAGCUAUCAGAGCCGCAGUUAUCCCCCCCAAUUUCAGGUUGGCAACAGGAGUCAGCAAGUUCACUGGUGAGUCUAAGCCUGAAACUUGGCUUGAAGACUACCGAGUGGCAGUUCAGAUCGGUGGUGGGAACGACGAGGUGGCCAUGAAGCAUUUGCCCCUCAUGUUGGAAGGUUCUGCCAGGGCAUGGUUGACUCAAUUACCUCCUAGCAGCAUUUACACUUGGGAAGAUCUGUCCCGANNNNNNNNNNNNNNNNNNNNNNNNNNNNNNNNNNNNNNNNNNNNNNNNNNNNNNNNNNNNNNNNNNNNNNNNNNNNNNNNNNNNNNNNNNNNNNNNNNNNNNNNNNNNNNNNNNNNNNNNNNNNNNNNNNNNNNNNNNNNNNNNNNNNNNNNNNNNNNNNNNNNNNNNNNNNNNNNNNNNNNNNNNNNNNNNNNNNNNNNNNNNNNNNNNNNNNNNNNNNNNNNNNNNNNNNNNNNNNNNNNNNNNNNNNNNNNNNNNNNNNNNNNNNNNNNNNNNNNNNNNNNNNNNNNNNNNNNNNNNNNNNNNNNNNNNNNNNNNNNNNNNNNNNNNNNNNNNNNNNNNNNNNNNNNNNNNNNNNNNNNNNNNNNNNNNNNNNNNNNNNNNNNNNNNNNNNNNNNNNNNNNNNNNNNNNNNNNNNNNNNNNNNNNNNNNNNNNNNNNNNNNNNNNNNNNNNNNNNNNNNNNNNNNNNNNNNNNNNNNNNNNNNNNNNNNNNNNNNNNNNNNNNNNNNNNNNNNNNNNNNNNNNNNNNNNNNNNNNNNNNNNNNNNNNNNNNNNNNNNNNNNNNNNNNNNNNNNNNNNNNNNNNNNNNNNNNNNNNNNNNNNNNNNNNNNNNNNNNNNNNNNNNNNNNNNNNNNNNNNNNNNNNNNGAUAAAGAAGGGAACGACGUGAUGGAUAUGCCGUGUCACAUUCACACGAAGAAAGAUGAAGAGGGGAAUAUCAUUUACCCAAAGCACACCACUCGCCAAUGUCGACUCCUGAUCCAGCAGUUUCAGGAAAAACAGUCUAAGGACAAGGAGAAGGAGUCGGACAAGGCCGAAGACAAAGAGGACAGUGAGGGAGGAUAUCCGCAUAUCAACUCCACUCUGAUGAUCUUUGCAGAUGUGGAAAGCAGAAGUCGACUGAAAGUGAUUAACCGAGAGGUGAACAUGGUUGCCCCAGCAAAGGCAAAUUAUCUGAAGUGGUCUCAAACACCCAUCACAUUCGACCAAUCUGAUCACCCGACUCAUAUUGCCACCCCCGGGAGGCAAGCUUUGGUGGUCGAUCCAGUUGUCGAAGGCACUCGACUGACAAAGGUGCUGAUGGAUGGUGGAAGUGGGCUGAACUUAUUGUAUGCAGACACAUUGAAAGGUAUGGGCAUUCCGAUGUCCCGACUGAGCACUAGUAACAUGAGCUUCCAUGGAGUUAUACCAGGGAAGAAGGCCGAGUCACUCGGUCAGAUAGCUUUGGACGUAGUGUUUGGUGAUUCGAAGCAUUUUCGCAAAGAAAAGUUGACGUUUGAGGUCGUGGAUUUUCAAAGUGCAUAUCAUGCCAUUUUGGGGAGACCAGCCUAUGCACGGUUCAUGGCUCGACCAUGUUACGUGUACCUCAAAUUGAAGAUGCCCGGUCCCAAAGGUGUGAUCACUGUCACCGGUGAUAGGAAAAAGGCAGAGGAGUGCUUUCAGAAGGGCUCCAAGAUUGCCGAUUCCCAAGUGACAGAGGUCGAGUUCGAAGAAUACAAGCAAAACGCAGAUCCGAGUGACUUGCUGCGAUCCAAGAAGCCCGCCACAGAGUCUGCAUUCCAGUCGUCCGGUGAGACGAAGCCUGUUCACAUUCACCCGACCGACCCCGAAGCAGCUCCGACCCGCAUCUCCACAACACUCGACCCAAAAUAGGAAGAAGCGCUCAUCCAGUUCCUCCGUGAGAACUGGGACAUUUUUGCAUGGAAGCCCGCUGACAUGCCAUGUGUUCCCAGGGGACUGGCUGAGCAUCGCCUAAGAGUCGACUCGUCUGCAAAACCCGUCAAAGAGCAUCUUCGGCGGUCCGCCAUCCAGAAGAGAAAGGCCAUCGGUGAAGAAGUGGCUCGACUGUUGGCGGCAGGAUUUAUCCGAGAGAUAUACCACUCCGAGUGGCUCGCUAAUGUCGUCAUGGUUCCUAAGAAGGACAAGUCGCUCCGAAUGUGCAUUGAUUUCAAGCACAUCAACCGGGCCUGCCCGAAAGAUCACUUUCCUCUCCCUCGCAUAGAUCAAAUUGUUGACUCGACCGCGGGAUGCGAGAGGUUGUCUUUUUUAGAUGCUUACUCCGGGUACCACCAGAUCCGUCUGUACGGGCCCGAUGAGGUAAAAACAACUUUCAUCACUCCAUUCGGGUGCUUCUGCUAUAUCACCAUGCCAUUCGGCCUCAAGAAUGCCGGAGCCACAUUUAUGCGAAUGAUUCAGAAGUGUCUACUCACUCAAAUCAGUCGGAAUGUGGAAGCUUAUAUGGAUGAUAUUGUUGUCAAGUCACGAAAAGGUUCCGACCUGCUCGCUGACCUCGCCGAAACAUUUGCCAACCUCAGAAGGUAUGAUAUCAAGCUCAAUCCAUCAAAGUGCACAUUUGGAGUUCCUGGUGGCAAGUUACUCGGUUUUCUCGUUUCCGAACGGGGAAUCGACGCUAACCCAGAGAAGAUUGGCACUAUUCUCCGAAUGAAACGCCCUGUGCGAGUGCACGAUGUCCAGAAACUUACUGGAUGCUUGGCCGCAUUAAGUCGAUUCAUCUCACGACUCGGUGAAAAGGCACUGCCUCUUUACCGACUGAUGAAGAAGGCUGACAAGUUCGAGUGGACUCCGGAAGCUGAUGCAGCGUUUGCCGAGCUAAAAGCUCUGCUCUCCACCCAGCCGGUGCUUGCUGCUCCAAUCAGCAAAGAGCCUCUGUUGCUCUACAUCGCAGCCACAGGACAAGUCGUCAGUACUGUGCUAACGGUCGAGCGGGAAGAAGAAGGAAAAGCUCUCAAAGUUCAGCGCCCAGUGUAUUAUUUGUCUGAAGUCUUGACUCCAUCCAAGCAGAGAUAUCCUCAUUAUCAGAAGCUUGUGUAUGGAAUAUACAUGACCACAAAGAAGGUUGCUCAUUAUUUCUCUGACCAUUCCAUCACAGUCGUCAGCGACGCUCCAUUAUCAGAGAUUUUGCACAACAGAGAUGCAACUGGUCGAGUGGCCAAAUGGGCGAUUGAACUUCUUCCCCUUGAUAUCAAGUUUGAGGCAAAGAAAGCCAUUAAGUCCCAGGCGAUAGCAGAUUUCCUCGCCGAGUGGAUUGAACAACAGCAGCCGACUAAAGUUCACUCGGAGCAUUGGACCAUGUUUUUCGUUGGCUCUAAGAUGUUGAAUGGUUCCGGUGCUGGGGUUGUCCUGGUUUCCCCCAGAGGAGAUAAGCUCAGAUAUGUGCUCCAGAUUCACUUUGAUUCCUCCAACAAUGAGGCAGAAUAUGAGGCCCUCCUAUAUGGGUUGCGCAUGGCCAUUUCACUCGGCGUCCGUCGCCUAAUGGUCUAUGGCGACUCUGAUUUAGUGGUCAAUCAGGUGAUGAAAGAGUGGGACGUGAGAAGCCCAGCCAUGACUGGAUACUGCAGUGCAGUGAGGAAGCUGGAGAAGAAGUUCGAGGGGUUGGAGCUCCAUCAUAUACCCCGACUGAAAAAUCAAGCAGCUGAUGAUCUAGCAAAGAUAGGUUCCAAGAGAGAAGCCAUUCCGAGUGGUGUGUUCUUGGAGCAUAUACACACUCCGUCAGUCAAAGAAGAUCCUUUCACCGAAGAAACUCCGCAGCCCAAGAGCGCCACAGAUCCGACUGAAGUUGAAGUCCCAGCGGUGGUCGACUUGAUCAUGGAGGUUUUGGUGGUCAUUCCCGACUGGACGAUUCCGUAUGUCGCAUAUAUCUUGAGGAAAGAGCUUCCGGAGGAUGAGGAAGAGGCUCGACAGAUCGUCCGUCGAUCUAAGGCCUUUACCGUAAUCAAAGGACAAUUAUACAGAGAAAGCACGACUGGAGUCGGUCAGAAGUGCAUAACACCAGAAGAAGGUCGACUCAUCCUCAAUGAUAUUCACUCGGGGACCUGUGGUCAUCAUGCGUCCUCUCGGACCAUCGUGGCCAAAGCAUACCGAGCCGGAUUUUACUGGCCCAAGGCGAAUGAGAUGGCAAAAGAGAUAGUAGAUAAGUGCGAGGGAUGUCAGUUCUACUCGAAUAUGUCGCACAAGCCUGCGUCAGCUUUGAAGACCAUCCCACUCGUCUGGCCUUUUGCAGUUUGGGGGCUGGACAUGAUCGGUCCUUUGAGAACAGGACGAAGUGGCUUCACGCAUGUACUGGUGGCAGUCGACAAGUUCACCAAGUGGAUCGAGGCUAAACCAAUCAAGAGCCUUGACACCGGUACUGCUGUUAGCUUCAUCAGGGAACUAAUAUUCAGAUAUGGAGUCCCGCACAGCAUCACUACGGAUAAUGGGUCGAACUUUGACUCAGAGGAAUUCAGAGCUUUCUGCGACUCCCAGGGCACACGGGUCGACUACGCAUCAGUCGCCCAUCCGCAGUCGAAUGGGCAAGCAGAGCGAGCUAAUGGAUUGAUUCUCAAGGGACUGAAGCCUCGACUGAUGCGUGAUCUCAAACACGCAGCUGGAGCUUGGGUCGACGAACUUCCCUCAGUUCUUUGGGGACUGCGGACCACACCUAAUCGGUCGACCGGAAGAACUCCAUUCUUCUUGGUCUACGGAGCUAAAGCAGUCUUGCCGAGUGAUCUUCUCCACAAUGCUCCUCGAGUUGAAAUCUACAACGAAGCAGAAGCUGAACAAGCGCGGCAGGACGCAGUCGACCUUUUAGAGGAAGAAAGGGAGAUGGCUCUGAUCCGGUCGACCAUCUACCAACAAGAUCUGCACCGUUUCCACGCCAGAAAUGUGAGAGGUCGAGCCUUCCAGGAAGGAGAUUUGGUUCUCCGAGUGGAUCAGCACAAACCACACAAGCUUGCUCCUUCUUGGGAAGGCCCCUUCAUCGUCACCAACGUUCUCCACAACGGGGCGUACCGUCUUUACAACGUCGAGCAUAAUAUCGACGAGCCCCGAGCUUGGAACGCGGAGCUACUCCGCCCAUUUUACACUUAAGCUUUAUCACUCGGAUGAGUUGCAAUAAAGUACUUUUGUAGUUCAUGGACCUCAAAAUAAUAGUGUCAUAGUUCCUCCACAAUAUCUGUCACUUUUUAUUUUUAUUUUCCAAUAAAAUUCCCCUCAGUGGGUGACUUAGUUGCGAAUCCGUUUCGCCUAAGUUUGUAAAAAUCCUACCGAGUGGUGAGCCAGACUCCCACUCAGAGGCUUAGCUGCGAAUCCGUUUCGCCUAAGUUAUAAAAAUCCUACCGAGUGAAGAGCAACCCUCUCACUCGGGGGCUUAGCUGCAGUCCAAGCACUCGCCUAAGUUGUAAAAAUCCUACCGAGUGGUGAGCCAGGCUCCCACUCGGAGGCUUAGCUGCGAAUCCGUUUCGCCUAAGUUAUCAAAAUCCUACCGAGUGGUAAGCCAGCCUUCCACUCGGAGGCUUAGCUGCAGCCUUGUGCUCGCCUAAGUUAUCAAAAUCCUGCCGAGUGAAGAGCAAUCCUCUCACUCGGAGGCUUAGCUGCAGCCUCGUGCUCGCCUAAGUUAUCAAAAUCCUGCCGAGUGAAGAGCAAUCCUCUCACUCGGGGGCUUAGCUGCAGCCAUGUGCUCGUCUAAGUUAUCAAAAUCCUACCGAGUGGUAAGCCAGCCUUCCACUCGGAGGCUUAGCUGCAGCCUCGUGCUCGCCUAAGUUAUAAAAAUCCUACCGAGUGAAGAGCAACCCUCUCACUCGGGGGCUUAGCUGCAGUCCAAGCACUCGCCUAAGUUGUGAAAAUCCUACCGAGUGAAGAGCAACCCUCUCACUCGGGGGCUUAGCUGCAGCCCUGUGCUCGCCUAAGUUACAAAAAUCCUACCGAGUGAAGAGCAACCCUCUCACUCGGGGGCUUAGCUGCAGUCCAAGCGCUCGCCUAAGGCACCUUGCUUUGAACCUGCAAAAGACAUUCCGAGCCGAAGGCAAUCGUAUUCAAGCACCAAAUCCAAGUUUGAAUCGACAUCUAAAGGAACCGAAAGUUCUCAGGCGUCAAGCCUGUUAAGGUUUGUCGGUUACAAUUUCACUCAGCAUACCGAGGCAAAUUUAAAGCGUCGAGCCAGAAGAAGUUUUUUACCCCUCCUGUGGAGGGCUGGAAGGUGCAACAAAUUCAUCAAGGUCAAUCCCGUCGGUGAUCCGAGUGGCAGCUGCAAGGAAAGUUUCCAUAAAGGAUCUGAAGUCGUGCUUCUUGGUAUUGGCCACCCGAAGGGCCGCCAGCUUCUCUUCUCGCGCAUCUUUGCAGUGGACUCGGGCCAGACACAGAGCGACAUCUGCACCACACCGAGCCGAGGACUUCUUCCACUCCUGCACUCGACCAGGGAUCGUGUUCAAGCGGGCCAUCAGCGAUUCAAGGUCAUUCUGAAGUAUCUCCUCAGGCCAGAGCGUCGAGUCGAUGCGCGAUGUGGCGGCCUUCAGCCUUGCGAGAUAGUCCACGACAGCUGCAACACGAGACUCCAGUCGGAAAACAUCCAUGGCAACUUCGUCGUUCACCGGAGAAUUGACGGGGUCAAGGUUUGGCUCCAGUCGGCUGGUUUCUUCUUCAAAGUUUUGACAAAAUUCUGCAAGGGUGAUCACUAAGUCAAGGAGAUAGUCGAAUGGAAAAAGCCACAAUUGGAAAUAUUUGCCAAACAUGGAGGUCUACCUUCAAGCAUAAGGAACAACUUCUUGGCAAGGCCACUCAGGAAGGCCUCCAGUUCAGUUUUCUUCUCAGUCAAUUUGCUGACUUGGUCGGUCAGGGCAGCUUUGUCAGUUUUCAGUCGACUGACCUCCUUGUUGGCAAUCCCAAGAGCAGCUUUCAGAUUGGUAUUGUCUUGUUCAAGCUUGGUGACUGAAGCUAACUUCUCGUCAGCAAGCUUGAUCUUCUCAGCUAGCUCAAGGUCUUUCUUCUGCUGGGCCUCCCUUACCUUACCUGCAAGUUACAGCAAGAUCAGAUGCUGAAACAAGCAAGGGGAAAAGCAGUCGUCAGGGUCUCACCAAACAUACCUUCGGUCUCCUCCUUUGCCUUUGUCAGCUUCUCCUGAACCAGCUUCAAGCUCAGCUCGACUUGAGUAUGUUUUUGUUCCAGCUCUGAGUAGCGAGCCACAAGAUCACAUGAGUUCUGUGAAGAACCAAUCGACUAAAUGUCAAAUAUAAUUCACUUCCGAGUGAAAAAGGGAUAAACACACGUUUCUAAGACUACAGCCAAAUACAAGCAUUCGACCGUAGUCUCGGGGACUACACCCAGUGGGUGCACUCAGCGUGCCCCCACUAAUCCUGUUGAAGACAAAGUCGACCAGUCGACCUCAAAAAAAAAGAGAGAGAUGCAUUCUCUAAGACUGUGAUCAACUGCAAGCAGUCGACCACAGUCUCGGGGACUACACCCAGUGGGUGCACUCAGCGUGCCCCCACCGGUUUGUGAAGUCCAGUCGACCAGUCGACUGACAGAAAGAUUGACAUCAUAAAGCCUAAGGCCGACUGCCAGCAGUCGACCUUAGCCUUGGGGACUACACCCAGCGGGUGCACUCAGCGUGCCCCCGCUAACACGGAGUUUAUUCGACACACCCAGUGGGUGACUAAUAUAAAUUCCGGAAAAGAAAAGUUUUUGGUAGCAUAUCCAACAGAACAAACAGCGGUCGACUGACCUGGACAUUGCUUUGGAGGGCAGAACUGGCGUCAUAAGCUGCCUGGCUCGCGUCCCGGAUGGUCUUCAGCUGCUCCAUCAUGAGUCCCGCCUGGCGUAUUGCCUCCUUCGCUGCGCCAGCUUGGUCCUCUGGGACGUGGUGCGUCGUAAAGAGGGAGGGCUGCUGAGCACUCGUCAGUGGAUUUGCGAAGGACACCGUGUGUCGAGUGGUGUUCCCUUCCUCCACAGUCAGAAUCUCAGGCGCCGUCACAUCCUGAGGUACCUUACUGGCGGACGCUUUCCGACUCCUCCUGCGUGUCAGUGGUUCUUCAUCCUCGUCGUCGUCAGGGAGAUUGAUAAUAGUGUUGGGUGGAGCUGCGGAGAAGGAUCAGGAUCAAAGAUCGCGAGUCAGUCGACUAAGAACGGUGUUAAGAACACAGUACCUGGAUUCGAAGUUGCUGCAUCCUCCAUCUCGUGGUCAUCAGCCCGGGCCGAGGUCUCAGAAGUAGCAGCACUGCAACUCCAAAGGAUCAGUCGACUAACUUCAGCGUCGACCAGAGAUAAAGUUCACACAGAAUAAGAAAAUAUGAGCAGCACGGUUACCCUGAUAUGGUAGGGAUGGACACCUUCAUCUUCGGCAAGAGCUUGAUCGGCUUCGACGGGGCCGCCCUGGGCUGCUUCGGCGCCUUUUCAGUCGGCACCGGAGAGGUGGUCCGAGGGCGCUUGGUCGACUGAGUGGCGGUCGCAACCCCCUUACCACGUUCGGUCGAAGGGUCGUGGACAAGCUUCGACCGCCUUUCUGAGCGCGGUGGUACGACCUCCUCCUCCUCUUCUUCCUCGUCCUCGACGUCGUCUUCAUCGCCGUCAUCAUCAUCAUCGUCGUCAUCAUCCUCUGCAACAUCCGAGUCCCAUUCCUCCUCUUCCUGGCUCUCGCCCCCGCUCGCCUCGCCUUCCUCAGUCGAAGCUUGUGCCCCAUUGGGCAUCGAGUACAGCUCGGUGAGGGCCUAGCAGAUGCCCAAACAAGGAUCAGUCGACCAGUCGGCAGGGUUAACAGAAAUGAAUACGACAAGGGCGCAGUGGAGAGCAGAGCAAGUGUACCUUGUUUGGGUCGCUGUUGUGGUCGAGUGGAGGAAUCCUUCUGGCUCCGUGCGGGUUGUCCUUGUUUCCGGUAAAGGCUACCAUCCAUCUUUCCAGAGUGACGUCGUCGACUGCUUCUGGAUGGACUCUAGUCUCGUCUUCGGUCCCACAGUACAACCACAUGCAGUGGCUCCGGAAUUGAAGGGGUUGGAUGCGACGCCUGAGGAAGACCUCCAGAAGAUCCAUGCCCGUCACCCCCUCCCGAACCAACUGCACCACGCGCUCCAUCAACAUCUUCACGUCGGCUUUCUCCUCCGGAAUCAGCUUCAGAGGGGAGGGCUUGUUCACUCGGUCCAUGGUAAACGAAGGGAGUCCACUCGACUGCCCUGGUGUCGACUGGACCUGGCAGUAGAACCAAGUCGACUGCCAGCCUCUGAUGGACUCGGGGAAGGUCAUGGGCGGGAAGGUGCUCUUAUUCCUCACCUGGAUCCCCAGGCCCCCACACAUUUGGACGACUCGGGUUCUCUCAUCACCUGGGCUCGCCUUCUUCACGGUCUGAGAGCGACACGUGAAUAUAUGUUUGAACAAACCCCAGUGCGGUCGACAGCCCAAGAAACCCUCACACAUGGACACGAAUGCAGCAAGAUAGGCAAUGGAGUUUGGGGUAAAGUGGUGAAGCUGCGCUCCAAAGAAAUUCAAGAAGCCACAGAAGAAAAUACUUGGCGGCAAGGAAAACCCACGAUCAACAUGAGUGGCCAAAAGCACACACUCACCCUCUUCUGGCUGUGGCUGCCACUCCUUCCCCGGCAACCUCGCAGCUCCGUGAGGGAUCAAGCCCUCGUUGGCCAUGUCGAGGAGGUCCUUCUCUGUGAUGGUCGACUGGAUCCAGUCUCCUUGGACCCAGCCCUUCGGCAGGCGGGAUCUGGACGAGGACCCUCCGCGGCUGGUGGAUCUCCCCUUCGCCUUCUCCGACGCCGACGCCUUCUUGGCGCGCUCCAGCGCCGCCGUCUUCUCCUUGGCCAUGGUCGCCGGAGAGAUGCGCGAAGGGAAGUGGUGCGGGGGCGAGAGCGAGCACGCUGAGCUGGGAAGAAGGAAGCAGAGAGAGAGGGAGAAUGCUGGGGCGCAGCACAGAAAUCCUCGCCGGGCGCAUUUAUAAGGUCCCUUCCGAGUGGCUGACAUGUGGGCCCGGUCGAUCUAAUCAUAUCUGAGAGCAGUUAUGCAGGCUGGAUACGUGGCGAAAAAGGCGGCGCGGAGAUCGAGGCGUCUAUGCCCCGUCCCAUCCGAACGCCGCGGUCCGCCCCGCUUCGCGCGCGCCCCCAAAUUUCGCAUCCCGCGGAAUCCGCGAGCAACAAAUCAGUCUGUCAGACGCGGUGUUUCCGGCGAUCCGUCGCUCGGAGAUCGUCGAAGCCCGAAAGAUCACUCGACGCAAAAACAGAAUGGAUCGAGUCGACUGAAGGCAAAUUGCUCCCUGCCAACGAAGAGAUUCUUUGGUCCAGAACAGCGCACAACUAGAGCGCAAAGGUCAAUCGGAAACGACAUCAACUCCUUCUUCACUCGAAGCCUCAAUCCAUUCGGGGGCUAAUGAUGGGGUUAUGUACCUAGGGUAGGGUCAUGGACCUGUUCCAAGUAACUUACCCCAAGACAUCCUUAGAGGAGGUCGCCUUCCAGUCGACCAAUGAGGACUCACUCGACUGGCCUGAAGGACUCGACCACGAAGACUCACUCGACCACCAGGAGGUCAAGAGGCACUCUGCACUGCAACGGCCUGUAAUCAAGUAGACUUUAUGAUAGUAAAGGCACUUUAUGUGGGGCGUUACCAGUAACGCCCCAGACUUAACUCACCUUAAACCCUCUCCUGCGUGGGCUGGCUAGGGUCCUGGCGCACUCUAUAUAAGCCACCCUCCUCCACAGGCAGAGGGGUUCGGCACCUUGUAAUUCAUGCAUUCAUAAUCCACUCGAUCGCCUCCGGGCUCCGAGACGUAGGGCUGUUACUUCUUCCGAGAAGGGCCUGAACUCGUACAUCCUUUGUGCUUACAACCUCUCCAUAGCUAGGACCUUGCCUCUCCAUACCUACCCCCCACUCUACUGUCAGGCUUAGAACCACGACACUAUUUGCUUGGACAUGAUCAUACACACCCUGUUAGUGGCAUUACUCUCAUUUGUGAUGAUCACAGUUACUUUCCUCGUGCUAGUUCUAUGCUUAAUGAAACAUAUCAUUCCCAUGUUAGUCUUGAGCUUAAUGAUAAAUAUCAUCCUCAUGUUAGCAUUGAGCUUACUGAUUUGUACCGUCCUAAACAUGUGCUUUAUAGCUAUGCUUAUGUAAUUGGGUACUCUAUAGAUGAUUUAGAGGGCAUUACCCUUGUCACUUGUAUUGUUUCCUUGGUUGAGUGCUCUUUCAGGUUGUUGCUUGUGCACGAUCCACUACAUGCUGACCAAGUUCGAGAUGACAUUCCCUGGGACCCCGGUGGACCCAUGGCAUGGGGAUGAGGAGAAGCAAGGAGCACACAUGAAGAGAGAAGCUGGAGCAGGCAUGAGGAUAGAGAAGCAAAAAGAGAAGAGCUGCAGCUUAGAGAGUGAUCAAGCGAGUGCUACUUCAUAGUGCCCGGUUAGCUGUUUCAUGACCCAUUCUGAGUAUAUCAUCCAUUGAUGCUUGCUGAAUUAAAUUGCUAUUUGGGUUGCUUGUGACAUUUCUUAAAUGUUGUCCCACUGAAUUUCACCUUUGACAUAUGGUGCUUGAUGAGAAUAUGCGAACUAAUUGUUGAAUGCCUUGUAACUAGUGAUCUACACCCUGUUUGCUCUGCUGAAAGUAGUGAAAGCUAUUAGUUCUGAGUGCUCAAAUCCCUAGUACACUAGAAAACUAAAUCAUUUUCUGCAUUUACUAUGAUACACCUACAUCACCAUGUUUAGAUGCUGAAUUUGUGCCAAGUGUGUUCCCAUUGAGAGCAAUCACCUAACCACUAUGGAAUAGCAUGCUAUGUUCCCUGGAUCGGUAGCAUGUGAACCAGACAUGGAGAAGUGAUGAUUCCUGUUUUUGUGCUUAUGCAUUAUUCAUUUAAGAUAAGUAAUAAUGAAUAAAUUAGUCUGACUACCUACAGUAGCAUGUCAUGUUCUUGGGAUCGAUGGCAUGUGAAAUCGGGUUAGCUUGGGCAGUAAAUAUUAUAAAAAUGUAAUUGUCGAACCAGAUGUAUACCAUGUUCUCGGGAUCGGUGGUAUGUUCCUUUGGGGUAUAUAAUUGGUCGAGCCGGGUGUAUACCAUGUUCUCGGGAUCGGUGAUAUGUUCCUUUGGUGAGAUCAAUAAAAUAUUAUCAUUACUCCUUCAAAUUCAAUAAGUGGUUCAACCACAAAGUUAUAUUUCUGCAAAUAAGAGAUUUAAUUCCAGUUCUUUUUGUUCUCGGGAUCAUGCUCUCUUUAGGAAUCAUUUGGCGCAAUCAUCAUUUAAACUUGUUGGUCCUCUUUUAUCAUUGUAAAAGUUUAAAAUGGUCAUGCUUACCAGUAUCCUACUGCUUUGUAGCACUCUUAACCAUCAAUUUUCACUAGCUAAGUCCAAAAGCAUGCAUUGUUUAGAGAUCUACUUCACUUGGACAUUCUUUACUCAGUUCACUGUUCACAUUCUUGCUCUUGUCAUAUGCCUUUGCUUGAGGACAAGCAAAGAUUUAAGUGUGGGGGAACUUGAUAAGUAUAUUUCACAUAUAUAAUUUUGGUACUCAAAUAUAGCUUCUAUCGUGACAUAUUCGUCCAUUCUUGCCAUGAUUGCUUGAAUAUUGCUUGAUAAUCAUCAAAAAGGAUCAUUUACUAGUCUUUGGUCUAUCUUGCAGAAAUGUGCGCAAAGGCACUAAUAAUCGUCAAGAUUGCGUCUAUGUGGCUAUCGAGAAGAGUGAAGAAUAGAAGAGAAGGAAGAAGAGACUUGUGUGAGAUGAAGAGAAGUAACCAGGGGGCUAGGUAAAGAAGUGGGAGGACCUUCUUGUGAAGAAAGAAGAGAAGAAAGAGGGCCAAAUCACAAAGUGCAGAUGAGAGGAGGGGAACAAAAUCCCUAGGCGCUGGAGGGAUCCGAUCGGGCCUGGCCAUAUCUCCAUCUCUCUUCUCCCCCACCACUUCUUCCACCUCAGGCCGCUGCCACGGCCAGGCCGGCGUGGUGGUGCGCCUCUGCAGCCCAGCCACCACCAUCUCCAUCCAUCUCCGCUGCGCCACCAUCCACAUCAGCGCCGCUGCGCCAUCCAUCACCAACACCAACACCUAGUGCCACCCAGCACCUCCACACGCUCCACACCGCCGCCAUCCAUCACCACCGCACCACUGAACACCUCCGCGCGAGAGUUUCCCUGCUGCCGUCCUUCUUCCCUUGCCUCUGCAGCUGCUCUUGCUUGCGCCCCUGUGCUGCUGCCUUUCUUCUCCCCUUGCUACUGCUCCCCUUUUCUAGCACCUCAACCUGCUGCUGCUUCUCCUUCGCCUGCUACUAGUCCCUUUCCCCACGCCUCUGCUACUCCUCCUCUUAAAACUGCUGCUGCUCAUCUUUCCCACGUUCCUGCUCUGAACUCUGCUUCUCACCUCCGUUGCUGCUGUUUCUCUUCUGAACCUCUGCUACUGUUCAGCUCUGAACCUCUGCAUCUGUGUUGAAUGUGCUUUCAGUGUUCUUGAGAUGUGUAAAACUGUUCAAUAUUCAGCUUACAAUUUGUGAAACUUUUGUGAUUCAGUGGUGUCUCUAUGUUAUACAUAUAGCUUGUGUACUGCUUGCUGCAGUAAAUUUCAGUUUGUAAGUUCCUGUGAUAGCUCCAGUACAUGUGACUUUUAUGUUGUCUCAAGUUCCUGUUAUAUAUAUACAUAUGUGUGUGUCUGUGAUGUGAUACAUUUAUGUUCUGUCCUACAACCUUAUUGUGUUAGCAUUUUAUUUCUCAUGUAAAACGAAAAUACCAAAAAUAUUAUUGAAGAUAAUCUGAACCUCCUUUGCCC
rnacentral:lncRNA from 1 species